rnacentral:lncRNA from 1 species
GCGGCCGGCGAGGAGGUUGCGGGGGGCGCGCGUGGGGGCAGAGGACGGGGGCAGAGGCCGCGAGGACGGCGAGGACCGCGAGGACGGCGAGGACGGCGAAGCGCGGGCGGGGACGGCGAGGACGGCGUGGACGGCGGCGGCGGGGGCGCGGGCGGGGACGGCGACGAGGACGGCGCGGGAGGUGGCGCGGCUGGGGACAGAGGCGGGCAAAGGCUUGGAUCGACGGCGAGGGGGGUGGCGCGGCCGCACCGGCGACGAGGACGGGCGAGCGCGGCGGCGGAAUCGCGGGCGGGUGAGCGCGGCGGCGGCGGGGGCGGCUGAGUGUGGGGACGAGUGUGUGUGAGAGAGAGAAGGAGUGGGGGGGAAUUGGAUAAGGCCAGUUAGGGCCUUUACCGAGUGCUGGAUAGUAAGGCACUCGGUACAUUUUUAUUUUUAUUUCAAAAUUUUAAACCGCCCACGUGAUUUACACGAAAUUAAAAGUAUGAAUUCAAAUUAUACCGAGCGCACAGCCAACCCUCGGUACAAAAUGGCCAUGUCACCGAGGGUUACCCAUUGCCGCGCUCGGUACAAACAUUUUACCGAGGGGCCAAGGUGCACCCUCGGUAAAUUUUGGUUAUUUUUUUUUGAAUUUGGCUUCCAAAUUUUUUGUGUGUGCUUCUUACCAUGCCUACUUGUUAAUGUCAGGAUUUGAGAUUUUUUCGUAACCAUUUACUAUUUAUUUUCAAUUUACAUCUAUUAAUUGAAUUUUCAUUUGGGUGUCAAAUUUGAACUGUACGCCAUUCAAAUAGAGGCAAGACAUGAUCCGAAAAAUGAUGGACAUACUUGUGAGUGCAAUGUGAGCCCCAACCAGGGGACAGAGCCAAAAAAAUCGAACACCUUGUUCACGGAACAUGCCAAAUCUGUUGCGGAUGAAUAGUGUUUAAAUUAUAUAAAAUUCAAACGAAGUCGAAAAAUCAAAAAACUUGUCCAGUGGUCAUGGUAUCUUAUGUGUAGACUGUGAAAAAAAUUUGAGAAGGUUUCGCUGAAGUUGGCGCCUAGAGUGAUGAAAUCCUGUACAACUCCACUAGAGUUAUAUUAUCAUAUGUUGUAUACAGCCUGGGUUUCAUCACUCUAGGCGCCAACGUCAGCGAAACCUUCUCAAAUUUUUUUCACAGUCUACACAUAAGAUACCAUGACCACUGGACAAGUUUUUUGAUUUUUCGACUUCGUUUGAAUUUUAUAUAAUUUAAAGACUAUUCAUCCGCAACAGAUUUGGCAUGUUCCGUGAACAAGGUGUUCGAUUUUUUUGGCUCUGUCCCCUGGUUGGGGCUCACAUUGCACUCACAAGUAUGUCCAUCAUUUUUCGGAUCAUGUCUUGCCUCUAUUUGAAUGGCGUACAGUUCAAAUUUGACACCCAAAUGAAAAUUCAAUUAAUAGAUGUAAAUUGAAAAUAAAUAGUAAAUGGUUACGAAAAAAUCUCAAAUCCUGACAUUAACAAGUAGGCAUGGUAAGAAGCACACACAAAAAAUAUGGAAGCCAAAUUCAAAAAAAAAUAACCAAAUUUUACCGAGGGUGCAUCUUGGCCCCUCGGUAAAAAUUUUGUACCGAGCGCCGCUGUAUGCAACCCUCGGUAACUAGCCAUUUUGUACCGAGGGUUAGCCAGGCUCUCGGUACAAUUUGAAAUCAUACUUUGGAUUGAAAUGUUUUUGAAUUUUUAAUUUCGUAAAUCACGUCUGCAAAAUUUUGGAUUCAAGUGUUUUUGAAUUUUGAAAGACCAAACUCUACCGAGGGCUCCGCAUACCCCUCGGUGUAAAUAUUUCACCGGAGGCAACCCAUUAGCGCUCGGUGGAAUGACCAUAUUCUACCGAGCGACAGACGGUGCUCUCGGUGGAGUUGACGACGUUGUGGGAGUUUACUCGACUGAGAGAGUGGUGCGUCAAUUUUACCGAGAUGUUUUUUCUACCGAGGAGCUUUGCUCGCUAAAACACAGUUUUAGCGAGGGUUUUAUCUUACCGAGGGUUAGACGCUCGGUAGAAGGGAAUGGUACCGAGCGUAUGUGUUCACCGAACGCUACUCGUGAAGUGCACCGAGGGUCUUAUUUCACCGAGCUUAACCGUCGGUACAAGAGUGAUGUACCGAGGGCCCGUUUUCCUGCUCUCGGUACAUCUUUAUGCUCUCGGUGGAGAUGCACUGUGCCGUAGUGACUGGAGGAAGUAGGAAGGGGCUGGAGUUUUAAUUUACGGAAGUAAACAAGAAAUCAGAUAUAGUAGUAGCACUAAAACAAUUGAAACAUGCUCUAAUUGUAUUUUCUAUCCCAGAUCAGAUAUAAAUAAAAAUUAUAAUGAUAAUAGUACAAAAGAUAGGCUGCUCUGCCAACUUCAAUCCAGCAAUUGCGUAGGCGAUUACUAUUGUUAGAGCAUACAGUGAGGUGAGCUAGUAGCCUGCAGGUAUCGCGAAGCUAUGGUUUUGUAGGGUAAAGCACUUGUCCUCCUGCGAAGAGGAUUGCACAGGACACUGCUUCCUCCACCACGAAGAAGGCAAACGGAUAGUCGAUCGGCGACGAAGUCCACAGCCUUUGGCCGCCGCAGAGGCGCUGCCAUUGCACAACAACGUUCCCCGAUUAUAAGAGCUGUGGAAGCCGCUGCCUCAGUGUCUUCCUCGUUCACCUCAAUCACCGCCCUGUGCCCCUGUGGCGCUCGGGAGUCUCCGUGUCGCCGCCGCCGCCAUAGUGCACCAGCAUGUCGGGCAGGUCGGCUCUGGCAGGAUCGAAGCACGGCCUUGAUCCCGAGAUCCUGGAGCUGGCGCUUCAUUGUCCGAUCCGAUGCCCCUACCUGGUGGGGCGUCCGUGCGCGGGAGGGCGCGCUCCACCAUGCAGCGGACGUUCUCGGUGUGGCUCUCGCGGGAUUGGGCGUCGAGGAGCUCGCUUAGCUAUCCCUUGGCGCCGGCGGUCGUCAGGGAAAGCGCAGUCUCAUCAUCCGCCCUAAUUUUUUUACUACACCUGCAGAGCCUGCACUAGUUCCUGCAACGUCCUGUUGAGCUUUGCAGCAAAAUAAGCAGCAGGUUGCAGACAUCUGCUGCAUGUAUCUUUUAGUUAUUUUUUUUUUUUUGCUGAGAGAGAUGCAUGCUAAUAUUAACUAGAGAAGCAUUAUACAUAACACAAUACUAUAUACUGGUAGCUAGCGGGUGCCAUGGCCGGCGCCUCCAAAUUACGGCAGGACGCACCAAUCUUAUAUCUUACCAUGGGGGCACGUACGACGCCAAGAAGCAAUGGCGACAUGAAGGUGCAGGCAUCAGGUGGAGAAUGAGGCUAUGUUGCCCUCUUGCUGCAGAAUGAGGUUGGAGCCGAGAGUUGGAUGGGGAGCCAACAUGGGGCAUUGGGGUGUACUGGAGACGUCCUCCUAGAGGUAGGGCGGCGGCCAUGGUGAGAAAGUUCAAAUUAGAAGAACAAGAAGAAGGGAGAAGGGGAACAAGCAGUUGAGUGGUUCUCACGGAGCAGUUGACUGACGCUUUUCUAGCACCGCCGUUGCGGACGUGGCGCUCGACCAGGAGUUCGCUCGUGCGGCAGAAGGCAGCAAGCCUUGCAGGCUGAUGCAAGUGUCUGUUUUAGUCUCUUGGGCUUUGCAGGAGUCCGCUCGUGCGGCCGGUGCGGCGCUGGUGCUGCCCAGGAUGAACGCGAAGGCAGCAAGCCUUGCAGGCUGAUGCAAGUGUCUGUUAGGCUUUGCAGGCUUGGCAGCCCGCAUCACUUGAAACAGAGCCUGCAGUGUCCACGAGAUCUAUUUUUACGGGCGGGCCGAGCAGGAACGGUCCGCACCUGCUUGUAUCUUUAAGCACAGAAGUACAUGGACAGGGGCGAGAAGACGAGGUUGCCGGCGGACCUACUCUCUCCUCCUCCAGCGGGGGCGGGGAAGUCGUCCUUGCCCUUCGCGGCGGCGGAGGACAAGUUCCUCAUCAGACAGACGGUGAGAUAUAUAGGGCCAACAGGUCGAAGCUCGUACGCGCAGCGCCCCGUGUUCCACCAUUGCCAAUUUUUGCGAUGCCGCCGGUGCGAGCUCGAUCGGCCGAGUCGCCUGCUUGCAGCCUCAAACUUUUCCAUCCACAGAUUAUACAUGUCCCAAGUCUCAUUGUGUAUAUACGUAUAUAUUUACUUACGAUGCCCCUUCAAAAAAAGCUUCUGCUGAAGGUGUACGGCUUGCAUGAUAAGAACUUAAGAAGCUCUAACUUCCUGACGAUUGGUGAUUGCCUAGUAUAGCAAGUAAGAUAUGCUUGUUUUGUUUUCCUGUUCGAUUCAGUCAAAGUGGACUUAUAAUAAAGCUAUAUGUAAUGAACUUAAAUUCUUGAUGUACUCGGUACACUAGGAGUGUGUUCAAUUAAUGAUAUUUUGCACUAGAUAUAUGCAUGACGAAUGUUUGGAUGUGUUGCACAAUGGAUGAACUUGAUAGUUUCAUUAAAAAAAAAAUGGAUGAACUUGAUAACUUAUGAGACCUAUCACACAGGUGCAAAGUGGUCUCGAUUUUCAUUGAAAAAUCCUAAUCUGCUUUACUAGCUAGAUGCAAUUAUAUGUUGUGUUUCUGGAUGCACUUGUAUUUACUCAAAGCAGCCAAUGGAAAAUCUACUCCAUAAAGAAAUAUAACAUUUUCUAGUAUUUUAGAACAGACUAAGGACAAAAGAAAGAGAAUGAUUGUGGCGCCCAUCAAUAGAUAGAUGCAAUUAACACCUGCACCCUAUAGAGAUAAUAGAAAUAGCAAGCAUCAAGUCUUUUCUAAAUACCAAAUUACAUUGACACAAAUAAGGAAACUAAUUAUUAAUGAUGAGAGAUAGAGGGGUAGAUUAUGUUAGAAAUGCUUACAUUUUUAGGCAAAUUUUGAAUUCUGCUAGAAAUGCUUACAUUGUGAAUGGAGUUGAUAAAGUGUAUCUAUUUGGGUUUGGAUAGUCAACUACGCACGCCAGAGCAACCACUAUAAAUAUCAAACUUGUGUAUGCUUUUUUUCUCUCACACCAAAUUAAAUAGCCAUGGCAUCCAACAAGAAAGUAAUGGUGCUUGGUCUCUUUGCCCUGGCCUUGUUCCUCGUGGCCCAUUGUAAGUAAAACAAUCCUUGUUGUUUAUAAUGUUCAAGAAAAUAGUAAAGAAAAUCCACCACCUGAAAUUGGAAACUUCGCAACAUUCCUCCUGCAUCAUGCAUCAUCCCAUACAAUCUUGGAGCGAGUACCACAUGCUAAUCUGUGUCCUUGUAUUUUAAAUUUUGUCUAUACAUGUGCCUAACCAAUAACCUAGCGAUCUAUAAUCAUAUCCAUAGGCACAGAGGCGGUGCAUGUAUGCACGAUGAGGAACAAGUUUUUCCAUGGUCCGUGCAUGAGCAACAAGAAUUGUGCGGCCUCGUGCAUCCAACAUCGCAUUGGUGGCGGUGGGUACUGCUCCUCCCGUAGACAAAUAUGUAAAUGUACCCUUCAAUGUUGGAGAAAGACAAGACUAGCUGGGAUCACGCCGACACGCGGCAGGGACCCUCUGACACCCUUGGACACGCCUAGGAUGGAAGUAUCCAAUUGAGUGUUACAUAUAUAUGUAUAUGCAGUUGAUCACUGGAAUUGAAUAAGAGAAGAACACAUGUAGUCAUGUUGUUGUAAGCAGCAAAUGCGUGAAAAUAAUUUAGAGAUGAUGAACAAAACUGGCAGUAUUAUUUUUGUCAUGAGCAUCUGCUACAGGGCCAUAAGCCCCCCUCACCCCCACCUCCAAGUAUAUCUCUUUAACUCUUCCAUUGACGAAUGUGGCACACUUGUAAACACUGAAGUUUUGCCCCCAAAGGCACAUAACCUCACAUGCAUCAUUGUUGAUGGAGAUGCAUGUGCAGUAACAGUGAGAAAUCUAACUCUUGUUGUACACUCAUGUGCAUCUAGCAGUACACGUGGGGCAUAUAUGCUCUUAAUUAGGAAGCAAAAUCAACAUUAUUACCCACUCUUAGUUUUAACAUGAUCGUGUUUUGGUAGCUUGGUUUUGGGUCUCAGUCUGUCCCUAUAUGUGCGUGUCUCCAUUUCGAAUUUCCACUUCGUGAGAGGCUACUCAGCCUCAGCCACGGCUAUGCACGGUGCAUCGGCAUCUCGACUGACAAGGCCAAAUCUAAGCACCUUCAUAUUUCCCAUGGUGGUAUCUAAACAUUUUGAUUUUACAAUAAAUCUGCUUGAGAUUAGAUGCAAAUAGAAUUCAAAUGGCAAGAACAAGAGCCAAAUCAACUUUGUAAAUAUUUGAAAUUGUGUUAGGUAAAAUUAUGCAUGUUUGUGUGUGAACUAUCGGUGACGGACGGAUUACCUACAAGUUUCUACUAUGCAAUACGAUAUGAAUGUAUUAUCCAAUACUAAAUUUAUUAAGUGGUUCGGUACAUAAUUCUAAAUGGCUCGACGGACAAGGAGAAUAUAAAAAAUAAGUUUGGAACCUUCUUAAAUGAAAAUGCAAAUAGUUUAGACAUAAGGUCUUGAGUAAUAGAAGAUUACAUUACUAGUUAAGGUCUUUUGAUUUAAGUCCAAAUGGCAUAUAAUCACACAUUCACGCACCAAUUUCACAUAUCCCAUAUGCACAAUCUCUAACUCUAGUCUAAACUAGACAAUGGUUGAGUAACACGCUUAUAGACACUCUUACACUCAUAGGGCUAAUGCGUUGGAGCCCAUAGGCCAUAGGGAUCGAGAGAGGAAGGGUGUUGUGCGGUUGUAGUGUCGUCGUGUGCAUCAGCCAUCAGGAACGACCUAUCUGGUGGUCCGCCGACCACCAGUGGCGUAGCUAGGGUUCAGUGCAAGGAUGGUCCAUCUAAACGUAAUAAGCCAAAUAGUAGUGUUCUAAAUGCAAUCUUCAUUAUAGCAUAGAACACUUAUACUGUAGUUUCAACAUUAAUCCAAUUUCUAUGGUGGUCCAUGGCACAACGUGCCACCAUGCUAGCUCCGCCUAUGCCGACCACCGUCGUCGUCUAUUCUCCUCAGUUGGAGCCUGGCGAGCGGCAUGGGUAGGAGAUUAGUGAGGGCCAGCGGGGAUAGGGACAGGGCCAAAUGCUGGAGGGCGGAGCUACGGAGGGCCUCGUGGGCUCACGAGUGCAUAUAGAUCGAGGCAGGGAAGAGGUGGACAGGCGCCGGGCGGUGGUGCGAUGCAGACGCGAUCAUGUGGCGGCGCAGAGGAGUCACAUACUCUUGGUUCACGAGGUUGGGAGGGAGGGGCGUCGACAUGUCUCGGAGAGGGAGAGAGAGAGAUAGUUUCUAGGCUAGAUUUUGUUUAUUGGGAAAUGAAUGACAAGUAUAUAAAAUUAAGCCAAAUUUCAGGAGGUUUUCGACCCAUCCGGACUAUCCUUCGGAUCUGUCACUGUGAACUAUGGUAGUGUUAAACUAUUAAUAAACCCUAUAAAAUAGAAAAAAGUUUAAAUUUAAUUUAGAGUAAAUUUUCUUAAUAAAAUAUAAAGCCCUUAAUAAUUUUCUCAUAUAGCUUGGGUCCACAUAUUGCCCCACUCUCAUCGGUUGAUUAUCUACCAGAGUGGGCUACUCCAUGUCUUCUUCAGCACGUGCCAUUAGCUCAUCACUCCUCCCUCCCCCUUCCUAGUUCCUACUAGUGGACCUUUUCUCUCUAGUCUAAGCAUGUCCCGCUCCCUUCCUCCUCUCUCCUGGCUGAACAUGUUUGGGUGUAGCCAGCCUAACUCCAUGACUUUUUCCUCUAUAUGAAUCAAUAUUAUUCCAUCCAAUUUUUUUAGCUUCUCGAUACUGUGACUGACAAGUGUGGCCUGCUAACUAGCGCUUUCCCUAGAGCAUUGCAAAUCUACAACAAAUUUGUUGCUCACCGACGCAUGAGAUGGAAAUCUGCAAGAAAGUUGUCGCUCAUUGACGCAUGUGACGAGCAUUUUUUAUUUUCAAAGACGGGCAGGUUUUCAGAGACUCUAGCCAAACAUCAAUCGCCAAUUAUAGAGGUGGUCGAAAUGAUCAUCUUUGGAAAUCAAUUCCACCUUCGUUAGUGAUUACCAGAAAUGCCUAUCUUUGUUAAUGGUUCCCAGGAAACACAAACAACCAAAAACAUUAUGUCCUUCCUAGGAAUCAAAUCAUAGCCUUCAACUCAAUACUUGGACCUCACUACCACUACACGUCUACACCACACCAUAUCACUUAUGAGUGUCAAUACUUGGACCUCACUACCACUACACCGCACCAAAUCACUUAUGAGUGUAUAUAUAAGUGUCUUUUUUAUAAAUAUUCCGUAACCUGUUCUGAAUAUUUUUUAAAGUACAAAUGUUAGCUACAAAGAUUAAAAUAUUGUAAAAUACUAUUUAUAUAGCUUAUCGCUUUAUUGGAUCAUAUUCUUGAGCACUAAAACAUUCACUUUCUUCUCCUUGAUCAUUUGUUGUUGGUUUUAACUUUUUUGUCGUUGUUAUAAUUGUUUGCAGAAAGUGAAGAUUAUGGUAGCUAUGGAGAACGUGUUAGGAAUGCUUGCUGUGGUUAUCUUUGUCAAAGUGGCACAAUGGAACUAUGAGAGCAUAUAUCAUUUAUGGGACUUCAUUAUAUUAUCGGGUUAAUUGGUGUGCUUGACCGAAAUACCCUGCACUCUUUUUCGACAUAUUGUUCUUGGCCAGUGUUAUUUUAAACGCUAAAUGGUAAACAAUCUGUUAUUGUUUAUUUAGCAUUUAGACAAUUUAGAUGAUGUUUAAACAGAGUUAAAUGAUUUGCAUAGUAACAUAUACAUAUUUAUGUAUGUAAAAGUUAAAUAUGCUAGAAAGUAUAUAUAUAUUUGUGCAUGUAAAAUAUAUGUAUUUUAGCAAAUAAUUUUUGUGGAAGAAAACUACCCAUACCACCUCAUAUACUUACGAUGUUAAUUAGUUGGGUGCCAAAUGUGGUGGUUGUAAUCCUCUUUUUAAAUAAAUGGUAAAUUAAAUAGCCAUUUAACCCAUUUAAGCAUGUUUAAACGGCCUAGUUUAAUUCGUUAUUUAGAGUCUAAAUGACACGGUUAGCCCUUGAUUAUUGUUUAAAACAAUGGUCAUUUAGGUGAACUAUUCUUAACUUGUAUAAUUUUGUUGCAUUUAGGUAUGCUCACUCUAGUAAUUUACACCGCUUAUUUAGUAAUUGCACAUUUAUUGAAAGUCUGGCUUUUGUAUUUAAUAUUAGAUGAUGGAGCUCAUUUAUCGAUAGACAUUGCCAUCCAUGACUUACUUUCAGAGUUAGGACUAAAGUACCAUGUAUACUGCUAGCAAACAUUGUUAAUACUCUUGAUGCCUGUUCGUUGGUUGAAAAACCAUGGCUGAAAGUAUUGUUCGCUGAUUUAUGAGUAAAGUUCAUCAUCGGUCCUUAAACUUGUCUUGGUGUAUCAUCCCGGUCCCUAAACUCGGUAGACGACUGUUUAGAUACCUAAACUUGUUCGGUUGUAUCAUCUUGGUCCAUAAACUUGGAGAUCUCAUAUAAGUCCUCAAACUUGUUUAGUUGUGGGUCAAAACAGGAUGAAUCUAAAAACUCUAUAUCCAAAAAUAACUCAACUUUUUCAUAUGAACUCAAAUGAAGAUAAACUUUGUAUCAAAAUUGUAGUCAGCAACGCGAUGUACAACUUUGUAGUUAAAAAGUUUUUAAAUUAAAAUCAUUUAGGAUCCCAAAAUAUUUUUUUAAGUUUAUAGAUUUUGAAAUUUAAAAUUUAAAAUUAAAUUUUGUGAUACUAAACAACUUUAAAUAAAAUACUUUUCAACUACAAAGUUAUAGAUUGCAUCGAGGGCUACAACUUUAGUAUAAAGUUUGUCUUUAUUUGAGUUCAUAUGGAAAAGUUAUAAAUUAUUUUUGAUAUAGAGUUUUUAGAUCGCUUUGUUUUGACCCAAUUGAGACUCAAAACAAGUUUAGGGACCAGGAUGAUACAUUUGAACAAAUUUAAAGACCUAAAUGAGUGAUUUCUAUGUUUAGGGACCGGAAUGAUACAACUGGACAAGUUUAGGGACCGGGAUGACACAGAAGAACAAGUUUGAGGACCUAAAUGGUCGGUUUGCGAGUUUAGGGACCGGAAUGACACGACAUUAUAAGUUUAGGGACCGGUGAUGGACUUUACUCCUGAUUUAGAGAAAAACACUGUUGACUGGCCGAAAAAGUACGACUUAUAAGACAAGGGAACGAUCUAGUUGUCACUCAACCACCAAAAUUGCUAAACCCUUUCUAGAGUUCAAGUUUCUUACAUUGUGCAGCGGAUUCAUGUCACAACUGAUGAGACCUAGAACUAUAACAUAGGUGCUAAGAGGUUUAGAUUUUUGUUGAAAAUCCUAGUCUGUUUUACUAGAUUCAUUUAUAUAUUGUGUUUUUUUAUCUAUAUAUAUGUUGGAUUUACUUGCGCAUUUAUUCCAAGCGGCCAAUGAAAGAACUACUUCAUCUAGAAAUACAAGCAUUUCUAUGUUUUUAGAAUAGAUUAAGAAAAUGAAAAUGAUUGUAGCAUAGAAUAAAUUAACACAUGCCCUUACAGAGAUCAUAGAAAUGACAUACACUAAUUGUUUUCUAAAUACCAAAUUAUAUUGACACAGAUAAGGAAACUAAUUAUUAAUGAAGAGGAAUAGAUAGGCUAGAUUAUGCUAUAAAUGAUUAUAUUUGUAGGAAAAUUUUGAAUGUUGCUAAAAAUGCUUACAUUGUGAGUGGAGUUGCAAUAUUUGGGUUCGGAUAGUCACCUAUGAGCAAACCACUAUAAAUAUGGAACAUGUGUAUGCUCUUUUGUCUCGCACAAAAUUAAAUAGCCAUGGCAUCCAACAAGAAAGUAGUAGUGCUCGGUGUCUUCACCCUGGCCUUGCUCCUACUGGCCCACUGUAAGUAAAACAAUCCUUGUUGUUUAUAAUGUUCAAGAAAACACUAAAGGAAGAACUACCACACCUUAAAUUGGAAAUUUGGCAGCCUAACAUAUAUACCUCCUGCAUCAUCAUCAUCAUCCUAUGCAAAACAUCAUGCAGCGAGCUAGUAUUGCUAAUAAUUAAUCUCUAUCCUUUAUUUAAAAGUUUGUGUAUAUAUGUGCCUAAUUAGCCACCUCGCGAUCUAUAAUUGCAUAUGCGUAGGCGCGGAGGCGCACUUGUGCACGACAAGGAACGUGUAUUACCAUGGCCCGUGCAUGAGCAACAAGAAUUGCGCCGACUCGUGCAUUCAUGACGACGUGGGCAGCGGUGGGUAUUGCUCCUCUACCUGGAAGCGUGGCCCCUUUGGAAGAAUAUGCAAAUGUACCUUUGAAUGUUGGGAAGAAAACAAAGCCAGCACCAGCAAGGGACUGGACACGCCUAGGGCAGAAGUAUCCAAUUGAGUAUUGCAUAUAUGUGAUCCAUGCAUCGAUGGAAUAAGAAGAGAAGCAUAUAUGUAGUCAUGUUGUUGUAAGCAACAAAUUGCAUAUGUACCAAAGAUAAUUUGCAUGGGGAUGAUGAAUAAAAUAAACUUGCAGUGUUAUAUUUAAUUUGCCAUGAGCAUUUUUUUUUCGAAAACGUGCACUUAGCCCGUGUUGCUUUAAGGGAAGAAAGAGUUUGUUACACAGCUUGCUGGGGAUUAGGCGAGGUGCCCUUUCCGAGCAAACGAGACACACGAACAUAGAGCACCGGCUGGAACGGUGGAGCUUCGAGUGGCGUGCUAAGGAAACAAAGUAGUAUUGCUACUCGAAGCGGAAGCCACUAGCCAGAAGCUAAAGCAAAAAGAGGGCUGAGCUUGGAGAACCCCGCCGCGAUCCAUUCUUCGCCCUCGGCCCGAAUCCGCCGCAAAACCUGAGUCGUGGUUGCGCAGAUCCCGUCGAAAGUCCGUCGGUUUCGCUCCUUCCAAAGCUCCCACGAGACAAGAAGGACGAGUGAGUCGAAGCCCCGCGAUAAAGCUCUUGGGACCUGCUUCCUGGCCCCUAGCCACCAGUCGACUAGCGUGUCCGACUGUGAAGGCGCGGUGUGGUGCGAACCUACCGCGCUGAGGAUGCGGUACCAUAUCUCACGAGAGAAAACGCAUGCGACGAGCAGGUGGUCGCACGUCUCGUCCUCCUGGCCACACAAUAGGCAAUCCGCAUGCUGCUGCAGCCCGUGCCUCCAUCUCCGUUCCGCCGUCCACAGCCUCUUCCGCAGCGCGAGCCAGAAGAAGAAUUUUACUUUGGGAGGGCAGCACACACGCCAGACCUCGCGUGCUCCCGCUAGCCCCGUGGUCCCAUGGAAGAAAGCGCGAUAAGCAGAUGCCGCAUCGUACGUUCCAUUAGCGCUCCAUUUCCAGAUGAACCUGUCGUCGAUCCCAGGCUGCAGCUGAACCCCUUGCAGGACAUCCCAUAGCAUCAAGUAGUCGGCAAUGACAGCCGCCGUCGUAGCGCCCGUGAUGUCGCGAGUCCAGCGCCUGGCCAUCAGUGCCUCGCGCACAGAGCGGCCCCGACGCCGUCGGCCGACCGCGCUGAACAGGUCCGGCGCGGCUAGGCAGAUCGGUCCGCAGGGUAGCCAAUUGUCCGUCCAAAAGCGUGCAAGGUCGCCGCUGCCGAGUUCGACCCUUACAGAGGCGCGGAACAUGGCGAUGGUGGCCGUGUCUGUGCGGCAGGGAAGACCCGCCCACGGUGCGGAUGGAUCGUUACGUCUCUGCCAUUCCCAACGAAGUCUGAGCGCGGCGCCCAUGGUCUUCAGGUCCGGGAGGCCAAGACCGCCGAGCUCCUUUGGUAGGCACACCACUGGCCAUGCCACCCGGCAGUUGCCGCCCUGAACCGUGUCCGCGCCAGCCCAUAGAAAGGCCCGGCGCCGUUUAUCAAUCUCACGUAUAGCCCAUGGCGAGAGGGCGCAACAGAUGGACGUGUGCACCGGAAUCGCCGAUAGGGUUGAUUUCGCCAAGGUGGCCCGUCCCACCGACGUCAGUAGCUUCCCCUUCCAGGUCGGGAUCCGCGCGGCGACCUUGUCCACGAAGUGUUGCUCGUCCGCUCUUGCUAGCCUAGAAGUGGACAGCGGCGCGCCCAGGUAGGUGAGCUGGAAAGGCUGGAUCCGACAGGGGAAGACGUGUAACACCUGGUCGACGUCCGCGUCGUCACAGCGAAUCGGCGUGAUCGUGCACUUGUCGAGGUUCGUGGCGAGUCCUGAGGCGCCGGCGAACACCUCAAGCAGCUGCCUGAUACAACUGAAGUCCAGCGGCUCAGUAUACAGUAUUUUUUUUCUCUUAAAAUCUUGCACUGACGGCCGUGGCACACAUACUCUUUGGCCCGUUUGUUUCCUUUUGCUAAAUUUUAGGCAGCUAAAAUUAUUUUAGCUAUUCUUGGAUAACUAGGACUAAAUUAUUUUAGCUCUUUUUUAGUCUAUAUGUUUAGAACUUUAACCACUAAAGUGAUAAUCUAGUUUGCUAAAAUUUAGUAAGGACAAACCAAACAGGCCCUUUGUUUCAAGGUUCUCAAUUAUGAUCGUGUUGGUAGCCUUCAUGCUGGUUUUGGUCACGUGUUGUCCCUAUGUGCGUGUCUCCCUUUCUAGUUUCGAUUUCGUGAGAAGCUACUCAGCCAGGUGUGAUGGCGCAUGGCCACGUCGACCAUCAACUAAGCUUCAUAAUUUCCGACGGUGCUAUCAAACAGAAUUCAAAUUGCAAGAAUAUAAGAGCCAAAUCGACUUUGAAAAUAUUUGACAACAAAAUUUGAUAAAAAGUACCGAAGCAGUUCCUCCGUCCCAAAAUAAGUGCCUAUGAUGUUCAUGUUGGUCAUACUUUUUUUAAGUUUAUCUAACUUUAUAGAAAAUAUUAUUAGCAAUAUUUGUAUCUCUAAAUAAGUUUAUUAUUAAAAAAAUAUAUUCAACAAUCAUAUCUAAUGAUAAUACCUUUGUACUAUAAGUUUUAAUAUUUUGUUAUAUAUAUUGAUCAAAGUUUAGAAUAAAAUAUUUACUCUUCGACAAGCGAUAUGGCAUAUUUUUCUUUUUGGUCUGGAGGAAUUAAUAAUAAAAAAUAAUUUUAAUUUUAAUAAUACCUGUCGCUUCCGUCUUCACUGCCUGUUGUAGCUUUAGGCCCGGCAGGGAAAGCCGGCCCAUAUAGCCCAUCGACUCUUUGGCUGCUGGGCACUCGCGUACAGAUUCCGGAGGGGAAGCAAGCGCUCGGUGCUGAACGUCUUGGGCCGUCUGCCAUCUCUUGACUAAGGGCUGCGGUCUCUCUGUAUACCUGGGCCUAGGGCCCUCCCUCUCGUGGGCCCUCGGUCAUCGCACCUCUCUGGGACGGGCCGGAUGUAUCCCUAUUCCCUAGCAUGAAAUGUUUUUUUUAUGAAAAUGUGAAAUGGUUGUAAAGGCCACUUCUUUUCUACAUAAGCAAUUUUUCACGAGGUUCAUGCAACGUGUCGGUAGUAAUAACAUGUCGAAUUGCCAAUCCCAUGUACUACUCAUUACUCGUUGUUGACUAUUGUGGCCUACAGCCUCGAAGCAGGAGGAAGUUUUCAUAGGCUUAUUGUAUAUAUAGUUGACCUGUUACCUGGAAUCGUGCUUAGUUACUCUGUUUAGCGGAAACGUCGGUGCUUAACCUGGUGGCGGCUUUUUAAUUACUUUCAACUUUUCUUUUCAUGUAACGUAAUCACAAGGUGAUGACAAACACAUGCAACUGCAUUUGCACAUGAUGCAUGAGCAUUAUUCUGAUGUUCGUAAACAGAGUAUGCCAAAGUAUGAAUGAAUUCCUUUCUAGUUUUUGGAUGUCUAGUUCAACUAAGUUUGCUAGACACGUUUUCAUUCAAACCUGCAACGACCUCCCUGCUUUACCCUUCUCUAUUUUGUCCAACACUUCCUGAAUUCCAAGUUGUUUGCAAGCUAAGGCCCUGUUUGAAUUCAUUAUCUGCUAAUAAAAUAAUUCAUAACUAAUAUUAGCUGGCUAACUAUUAGCUAGACUAGAGUAUGUUUGAAUGCAUAGUUAUUAGCCAGCUAACAAUUAUUCAUUUGCAGGUAUAUACGGUUCCUGUUAUCUAGAGGUCCAGUCGUCUAGCUAAUAAUUAGCUAGUCUAUUAUUUGUUACAUGUUUUGAUUAAAAAGAUAUCUAUUGGUAGAUAACUACUACUAUGCUAUCUACAAGGAUCAAACAGCGCCUAAAUAGCGAAGAGAGAGCGUCCACCUCUGUAAGUUCGUCAUCGUCAUCAGAAAUUGAAACAAAAAGAACGUCUCUACUGGGUAUAAAAAAAAAUUGAAACAAAAGAUAUAGGUUCCAACUCAGAGCAAUAGUCAUGUGAUGAGAUCAUGAGAGCCCUGACUGAGCACUGCACGAGCCAAUCAGAUUUUUUUUGGUUUUUCUGCGAGGAACCAAUCAGGACAUGUUUUCCCCUACCAAUAAUGCCGAUUAUACAAGCUCAAGGAGCAGGAAUCUUUCUCUGUGUCACUGUCAAUUCAACCGAGCAGGAAUCUCGAGGCAACAGCACCAAAAACAAGUAAAUGGAAGAAGAUGAAAUGGGAGGCUUUAUCUUACGACAAACAAUGCAAGGUGCCAAGAACUGAAAUGGCCACAGCUCGCUCGCUGGGGCUAGCUAGCCUCUGCACUGGGUGAUGGCGGAGCAGCCCCGGGUGUAGGGGUUGGCGGCGCCGCCGGGGCGGCAGUUGUAGUAGGACGCGCCGCGGUACGAGCACGGCGUCUGGUCCUUACGCAGCGCGCCGUAGCCGAUGCUGCCGCCGUCGCCCAGCUCCCUCCUGGCCGCCACCGCGCACUCCGCCCCCGUCGCCGUGCCCGUGCAGGCCGCCACGCCGCCGUAACCGUAGCCCACGUCCGCCGCCCAGUCGUCGUCGUGGUGGUACACCGGUGCCAACGCGGCGGCGGCGGCGCUCCGCUGCGCGUUGUUGCCUGCGACCGCGAGGAGCACGGCGGCCAGUACAAGCACCGCGAGCGCCGAGUGGCGCCGUGGCGGCAGCAUCGCGCGCAUCCGGGCGGCCGCUUUAUGCUGCAGACCUGCGCGGUAGAAUGCUCUCCUGCAGUCAGUAGUCUUCCUGCACUCCACGUUACCAGUGCCAGAGCUACCAACUUUAAAGAUCCGAGGACAGCUUAGACCUUGUUUAGUUUCGAAAUUUUUUUAAUAACUUUUAUUUAUAUUUAAUAAUUAUUGUUUAAUUAUAGAUUAAUUAUGUUUAAAAGAUUUGUCUCAUAAAUUAUAAGUAAAUUAUAUAAUUAAUUAUUUUUUCUAUUUAUAUUUAAUACUCUAUUUAUGCGUCUAAAAAAUUAAUGUGAUAGCGAAUCUGAAAAUAUUUAGAAACUAAUCAAGGCCUUAGUUAAUAAAAAAACACGAGGGCAUUGGAAUUUAAAUAAGGUGAGGCGUGUGGAAAUUCGUAAUCAAUUUUAUGUUUUUUUAUACAUAACCUUUCUAGAUCCCAUGGUGAGCAUGUAUAAUGUGAUGCUUAAAGGAGGUGUUUAGUGAAAAAGCUAGGUUGCUCACAACCAAUACCGAUAGCAAAGCAUGAGCUUUGAAGGUGAAUAAGGUCCGGUGCAUCCAUGGAGCUAAUAGGUAGAGCAUCUCCAAUAGUUUCAAAAAAGACAAUUGGUAAACCAAUGAGUUUUUUAAGUGGCUAAAAACAUUUGGGAGGAUAUUUGUUGGGUUAUUAUAACAAUUUUUAGAAUAUCACUCCUAAAAUAUAGAAGAGAAUUUUGCAUUAGGAAUCCUAUACUAUGUCGAAAUCACACUAACCACUUUUAUACUUUUCUCUCUCUUUUGUACAUUUGUAUUAAAAAUCAUGUCCUACUUCUUUUUUUUUCCCGCGUCCUUCCACCUCCAGAUUGACAUGAUUGGGUCGAUUUUCCCAAGUGUGGAAAGACUGAGAGUUGAGAUAGAGAAUCGUUGAAGAACAUUUUUUUUACAAUUUUGCUAAAAACUUACGAUUGAGAGUGGAUUUUGAAAACUCUCGAAUAUGCUCUUAUUUGAUAAUAAUUAGCUCUUCGGAUCCAAACAUGCCUCGCCAAUAGUUUAACUAAUUAUCAGUUGAACUAGACUAGUCAAUAACAACUAAUAUUUGUUAGUAAUAGCUAAUAUAUAUUUGUUAAUCAGAACUAAUAUUUCUUGGACUAAACUAGUUAAUAAUAACUAAUAUUUGUUAAUCUAAACUAGUUAACAACAGCUAAUAUUUGUUAAUAACAACUAAAAUCUGUUGGAUUAAACUAGUUAAUAACUGCUAAUAACUAUUUUACUAGUUGGACUAAAACUAGUUAAUAUAACAGCUAAUAUUUGUUAUAAACUAUCUAUUAGUUAGCUAACUGUUAGCAGCUAAUAGAUCCAAACAAAAUCUAAGAUGGCUCCAAUCAACUUGGACUUAAUACAAUUAUAAUGUGCAGUACGAAAGAACCAAAUUUUCCUUUUGGCCCCCAGCCACCAGUUCGUCUUGAGGUGGUGCACGACCGAUCGAUGCACCAUGUUUCUUUAUUUACUGCAUGGUGCCGUGGAUCACACUUUCUGUACACAAGGAAUAAUUGUGCACGAGAUCCAUGCAAUGUCGGUAGUAGAGUAACAUGCAACGCAGAUACGUAUAUUACGUAUACGUGUACAAAAAAAAGCCAAAAAAAACUUGCAGUUCUGGAUCUGCCUCGUGCCUCUAUACAUUGACUUUAUUAGUUUAUUUGGCUUGACUGGAAUCUCGAGCGAAGAAGCUUAAUCACUCGGUCGUGCUUAGCUGCCGCGUUUAGCGGAACCCUUAACAACGUGACAUCCCUUUCAAAUUCAAAACAACAACAGCAACAACGUGGCAUCGCCACCAGCCCAACCCACGUCCACGACUAUGAUUUCAGCCCAUUUGUCGAAGACAUGGGUCAGGUUGAAAAGGCCACUUUAACUGGACGUGGGUUGGGCUGGUCCCCCUUCAGCCCAAUACUCAACAAAGACCUCACCUGACUAGGCCCAGCACGCUCCAUGUGGGCCUGCAGAGCAGCUCGAUUGAUCAAGGACCUACAUAACCACCGAUCGCGUUCUUACUGUGAAGGAGCCGUGAAUUUUCAUCCGUUUCACCAGAAUUUGAUUUGAAUUCUGGGGCCCGUGUCACAAAGCUAUUCCUUGCUUCUCCAAGUUUAUUUGCCCUGCAAUGUAAUGCAAUGCAUUGCAUGCUGCUGCCGCUUCGGAAACUAUUUCAAUCUGUCUCUGGUAUCCACUCUGUGAUGUCUGAUCUGAACUGGGAAAAGGCGCAAACUGAUUGGAUUCCGGCAAAAUAAAACAGGACCACUCGCCUGUUCGUCAGAUGGAACCAAUUCAAACCUCCCUUGUUACUUACCCAUCGACAAUUUUCACUAAUUCGUUUCCUUAAUUAUGUACAAUACGGAUUUCGCAAUUUCGUUUGCAACCUGAAUUAGCAUGAAAGAUGAUGCAAGCGUUAUAUAUAUGCACACAAAUAUAAUGAAUCAGGAGGAGUUCUUGAUUCAUACAUGCAUGUACCCUUUUUCCAAUGCCAAUUACAAAAUCAUGGAGCAAGAAACAGCUUGCUCUAUGUCUGUCAACUCAUCAAGAACCAAUCUCUCAAAGCCCAGCUAACAACUAACCAGCUACAGAACACAAAAACACCAAAAAGAUUUUUGUAAAGGAGAAGAGAAGAAAACAGGAUUCAUCGCUUGCUGCCGGCCUGCCGCGGCAGGAACUGAGACACGGACGGACGAGACGAGACAUCAUCGGUUGCUGCCCUAGCUAGCCUCUGCAGCGGGUGAUGGCGGAGCAGCCGCGGGAGUAAGGGUUGGCCGGCGCACCCGGCCGGCAGUUGUAGUAGGACGCGCCGCGGUACGAGCACGGCACGCGCCCCCGGCUCAUGGCGUCGUAGCUGAUGUACCCGCCGUAACCCAGCUCCCUCCUGGCCAUGCCGCACUCCUCCACCGUGCCCGUGCCCGUGCACGCCGCGCCGCGAUCGGCCCAGCUGUCCGGAUCCACCACCGUCGUCGUCGUCGUCGUCUGGCCGGCUGCCCGCGGGGCGCCCGCGGCGACGACAAGGAAGAGCGCCGCGGCAGCGACGGCGACGGCGACGGCGAGCACGGCGCGGCUCGGUGGCCGGUCGACGUGCGCCAUCCGUUUGCUAGCUGCCCCGGCGCGGCGGUGCCGGUGCGCGCGCGCGCUCGAUCUCCUCCCGCUCUGCUGCUGAGACUAACGGCUAAUGGAUCGGAAGUGAAGUGCUGGGUCGCUCGCUGUCCCUCCCUUCCCUGGAUGGCUGGAUCAUUAUCAUUUUGAUCUCGAUCCGUGACGACAUGGCAACAUGGCGCGCCUGCCGCGCGGCAUUAAUAUACGGGGAGGCGCCUUGUCCGCGCGCGCGCCGCGGCACAUGAGGCCACAGCUUCGCCGGCUGUUUCUGGCACGUCGGGGGACGGGAGCACGUGCCAACGCUCCCGUUUCCUACCAUAUCUUGCUUGGAUGUAUGCUCCAGCUAGUCCCCAAGACACGGCUAGUUUUCUGCGUCUCAUCUGCCCAUCAGAUCUGCAGGCUGCUGCGGCGCCGUUUCGGUCUGCCUUGUAGCACUUUCGUUUGACUUAGUCCGGAAACUUUUUGAAUUUUGUUACUAUAGUAUUUUCGUUUUUAUUUGAUAAAUAUUGUUCAAUCAUAGACUAACUAAUUUAAAAAAUUUAUCUCAUAAUUUACAGGUAAACUGUGCAAUUAGUUUUUAUUUUCGUUUAUAUUUAGUGUUUCAUGUGCCGCAAGAUUUGAUGUGACAGAAAAUCUUGAAAUUUUUUUUAGUUUUAGGUAUGAACUAAAUAAGGCCUAAGCAAACUAACACUUAAAAACGGAGAGGAGAGAGUAUCUAAAUAAUGUUGUACUUCAAAUACGAUCUAACUCGACUAAUUAAAAACAUGAGAUCGACUAAUAAGUAAUUGCACAGUUUAUUUAUAAUUUUUGGGACAAAUCUUUUAAACCUAGUUAGUUUAUGAUUGGACAAUAAUUAUCAAAUAAAAAUAAAAUUGCUAUAGUGUUUAAAAACUUUUCACCUCCUCAACUAAAUGUAAUGUCGCAGAGUCUAAACGGUUUAGAUCCACUCUGUACGUUGAGCGAAUGUAACACUCUGGUGUUAAGCGAACUAAAACAUGACAUGUCAUCAUGAGCAUUGCAUCAUAAAUUCGUUAAGCACACACUAAUGCAUUAACUUAAAAUAAGUUUAAAUUGGAUGAAUGUGUUUAGGAAGUAAAGUGUGUUUAUUUUAUGUAUGGAUGUUUGUUUUGGAGUUUAAAAACCUUGGGUGAAAGUUUUUCCGAAAGGCUUAGGGGGGAAACCCUAGUUUUCAAAACCCUAGAUUUGUCCCCUUUUGUGUAAUUUAAAAACUAAGCAAAAUUUGAAGUUGAGUUCAAAAGCAAAGUUGUAGAUCUUGUCAAGAUGUACAACUUUGGUGUUUUGAGUUUUUGAAGUUUCAGUACAAAAUUCAAAGUAAUUUUGAAAAUACAGAUUUCCGAAAAGUGUCCCCUUUUCAAACUUAAAUCUCCAAUUCAAAAUCUGUUUGGAAUUUUGAAAAGUGGUCAACAUGAAAGUUGUAGAGCUUGAAAAGUUGAACAACUUUCAUGUUGGGAGUUUUUCAAGUUGUUAUGCAAAAUCAAAAGUAAUUUUAGAAAUUCUGUUUUGCCCUAAUUCAAAAAUUUGGGAUUAAGCUUGAAUUUCAAACUGUUUGGCUCAAAUUCAUCCCUUUCCAUUUCAAAUUUGUCUUUGGUCACUAAAGAUGUUUUGUAGCAUUCAAAAUUCUGAGCAUUUGAUAUUUUGACAUAUUUUUAUCUUCUAUUCAAAAUCUCAGAGUAAUUUUAAGUUUUCAGAAAGGGUAUUUUGGGGAAAAGGGGGAUAAGCUCGGUCCCUGUUCAUGGCGGUGUACCGCCGAGCGUCGAUCGGCGUUUGCCGACUCGUGAACCGCCGUUUCAUCUCGUCCAAGCACGUACUCGCGUCCGUGGCAAAGUGGAGCAGCUGCUGGCGAAGUGGAGCGCGACGUGCCCUUUUCUCCCGCGAGCACCGACCUCCUUUCCGCCACCGGAGCACCGAGGAGCAGUACCCCGUCCUCAUCCAAAUUGGCCGUGCUCGAUCAUCCUCGUAUCAAAUUGAGCCAUCCACGAUGUUCGCCAUCUCCUUGCGAAUCCAGAACACCACCAAGCUCGCCCCAUAACCCUCUCAAUCGCAGAAACACCUCCAUCCUCUCCAUCUCCGGCCAGAACUGCCGCCGUGGGGCUCUUACCGUGGCCACGGUGUUCUCGUCGGUAUCACGUUUCCCUGGCAGCUGUUUCGGGUUCCUCUUGUGUUCUAGUAGCUCAUGCUCUCUCUCUUUUGCUUUGGGCACGAACAGAAUCGCCGGGACGAGCUCGCCGGAGCCGGAGCGCCCGCCCGAUCGCACUGUCUCCGUCGCCAACAACUUCAGCUACUUCUCCCACCGUGGUGACGUGAGCAUCGUGUUCCCUACACCACCUUGAACCUCCCUACGCCAUUCGUUUGCUCUCUACCGGGUCCUAGUGGCCGGCCGACAGUCGGCCAUGGCGACCGCCCGCUCCUAUCGUGGCCGAGGUGGUAGCAGUGAGGUAGAGCGUCCGCGAGUGGUACCAAUGGAGUCGCGGAGUUGAGGCGGAGCCGAUGCGCGCGCGCGCGGAGGCCGAGGGCCUCGCUAUCGGUCGCCGGAGUUGCGGCCGAGCCGCCGUGCGUGAGAGAGAGAGAUCUGACGGGUGGGGCUACCCUGUCAGUGGCUGAGAGAGAGAGAGAGCGCGCGGGCGUGCGCGGCGCGGACGCGGGCCGGGAGCAGUGGGCCGGUCUGCGGCCCAGUUUCGAAGCAACCCACUGCGCAGUGUCUUUUUUUUUUUUUUCUUUUGUGCAGUUUUUUGCUUGAUAUUUGAAAAUUGUGUAUUAAUUUGUGUAGUGAUCCAAAAAUAGUGAAACUUUUUGUAUAGCUUACAUAAAAUGGAUAGAGCCUAAGAAAAAUGUUAGGUUUGAUUUUCUGGUAAUUUUCAUGUAUACAUAAAUUGCCUUUGUUUAUUAAUGAAUAAACCUUCCUUGAUUUUUAAUAGUUCAUAGGUAUAUCCAAAAAUCAUGAAAUUUAAUAUGUGAGCUUGUGUUAAUGUUAUUUAGCUCCAUGAUUAAUUUCAGCUCUGUUUGAUCAAGUAUGCUCUGUUUCUUGAUAAAGCUAUUUAAAAUGCUUAUAAAAGAAAUAGAAAUAAUUAAUACCUUUAGGAUUUGGGUGAUAUUUUGCAUUGUUUGACAACCAUGGUUACUUAGCAUGAUAUGCUCCCUGGUUAUGGUUUAUUUUCAUGUAAAUAAUCUUUAUGGUAUGAUAGAUUCACAAUUAUUGCUUAAUAAAAAUAAUAAAGUUGGUUUAGAAGUGAUUUAUGCUUUGAUAGUUAGCUUUGUUUGUUUCUUUACCAUGAAGGUAAAGUGUACUCGAGAUAAUCAUAUUUUGUUAUAUCAUCCAAGAACAUGUAACUUGUCUUUAUCAUGCCUUGAGUAUAUCAUAAUCAUGCAUAUGCACUUUUACGUAUAGAGUACGCUCCGGAAGAAUCUGAUCCCCAGUGGGUUUCUUCCGAGUUUGUGGAUCCUUUGGGUGUUGUUGAGUUGUCGAACGUCCCCUCCGACCAAGGCAAGCCCCGGACAUUAAACCCUAUUCUUGUAUUUUCAUAAAGUUAUUUAUAUCACUUGAGUUAAUAUGAUGCAUUAGGUGAAUAGGAGUUGAGUGAAUCCUAUUUGCUGCAUUAUCUACUUUGAUGAUUUCCAUAUUAACCUUGAUACCUGCUUUAUGAAAAUGCUUAGUAUGCUUAGCCCUGCUUAUUAGAUAAGUUUUCAAAUGAAAGAGUUUGAAGGGUUGUUGUGGAAUACUUUUAUGGUUAAUAAUGUUUAAACUUGAGACCGGUCGGUGGACUUGCUUUAAGAAUGGAGUCUUAAAGUAGUGUCUCCAACUGAGUCGAUUAAGGACCGUACCGUUGAUUGGCCUGUUGUGAUUGAGACCUUUGAGUACAGCCCACAUGCGCUGGUAAGCCUUACCUAUAGCUAUUCCGAUACUUGAGAACGGCUAACCGCGUACUGGGAGUGGAAAGAUGGCGAGAGUAGCGUGUACCCACCUUACGGAUCUGAGAUGACCGGGAAACAUCUAGAUUGGCCGUAGGAUGGUGGUGUACUGUACUCUCGGGUGACGCUGGACCCGUUCUUGUAUGGGAGGAUCUAUAGAAAAGGUUGACAUAUGCAAGAUUAAGUUCUACAUAUGUCGUGUGGUACUGAAUCCCCAGCUGGGUUUAAUCGAUUCGAAUCGCCGUGUUUCCUCGGAUAUGGAGUCUCAAUCCUCGUACCAUCAUCGUAGUAAUAAGUGAAUCUUGGUAUAAGAAAGAUAUGGUUUACUUAUGAAAGUUUGAUAAUAGUUUUGAUUAGUCAUAAAUGAUAAUCCUGAGUUAAAACUUGAAAGUAGGUUUUACUCUUAGUAAGCUUUUAUGCAAAAAGAAAUGCUUUGAUCUUGUUAAAGCUUUACCUUGAAUCCCUAUAGCCUGCAUACCUGAGUCUUCACCUCUUUUAUAGUCGGUUAAGUCUUGUUGAGUACUUUUGUACUCAGGGUUUCUUAACCCAUGUUGCAGGUGAGUCUUUUGAUAAUCCUUUUGAUGGUCAUGGUUACUUUACUCUUGUGGAGGAGAGUGACGAUGAGGAUCCUGAUGUGUGACCUUGGGCAAGUAAAAACUUAUUGUGUGAUCUAUGGUUUAUGUAAUAUAAAGUUCCGAAGCUUUUAUGUAUCAAAUACUUAUGGUUUGUAAACUAUGAACUUAAGUUUCAAUCUAUGUUAUGUAACCUUUCCGCUUUUACUCUGAUUUCUCUUAUCUAUGAAAUGUUGUAAUACUGCGAUGCUUGAUGAGGGAAUUCCUGAAAAGAAUGUUACGUGGAUGAUUCGGGUUUCCCGAGGACACCCGACAGACUUCUUGAGUCAUUUGGAACUCGUGCACGUCGAUCAGAAGUCUUUGGGACAAUGAUGUGUGCAUGUGGGCCACUUAAUUCAGGAGGUUCUGCCACAGCUGGUAUCAGAGCAGGUUUCCCUUAGAAAGUAUAGCAGUAUUCGAUUUAGAAAACUUCAAAAGCUUUUGAGUCAAACCAAAUUUCAAAUUAGUUUGAGUCCAAGUUGCUUCUAAGCUUGUCUUAUGCUUCUAACUUGUCUCAAUUCAUUCUGUAGACUUAUCCUUCUAUCCAAAUGGAUAUGUUCUUAGUAUAAUUAUGGUAAUAUUUAUAUAUAAGGAACAAUGCUUAUGAUAUUAUAAUAUUGCCCUAAUUAUGAAAAGAAAGUUUAUGCACUUUUAUGUUAAGUGACUAAUUUAAAGCUAAUUAAUUGUUUGAUGUAUGCUUUGUUCGUAAGUACGUUUCAUGCAUCAUUAUUGAUAACAUGUAAUUAACUUUCCUCCUUAGAGUUGUUAAUAAUUAGAGGUAAUAUGUCCAUCUAAUUGUAAAACUCUAUUCUUUAACCUUGGAACAUAUAUAGUUCUAAUAUUCAAAAUAAAAAUAUUUUGGCAGAUGGCACGUACCCGCCUAACCGCUCGCAAGUCCACCGGAGGUCGUGUCCCCAGGCACCAGUUGGCAUCAAGGGAUCCGCCACCAUCCGACAACAGCGACAGCAGCACUGACAACUCUAGCGACGGAAACGGGAGUGACACCAGCGGAGGUCCUCCUUCGCCAAGGACCUACAGGCUUAUGAAGAAUGAUCUGCGCCUGAUGCUCACUGACAACAUCAAUAUGGAAGUUCAGCUGUACCAUAUGGCGGGGUAUGUGGUCACUCUUGAAGCCUAUGCCAACACCCUCCAUGAGGAAGUGCACCAGCUGCAGGAUGCUCUCAAUCCACCCGAGGCUUCUGAAGCAGCAGAGGAAGGACCAGUUGUCAUCCAAGUGGAUAGUGAUACUUCUGAGGAUGAAGCAGAGGAACCAGGAACUCCCACUCCAGAUGAGGGUGUUACCACCAGUGAGUCGGAGAUGGAUGACGACUAGGUGUUGAAAAGGCAAGAAGUAUGACCGAGUGUGAUCUUCUGACUUUGUAACUUAGUUAGUCAGAAAACCUCUAGUAUGGGAAGUGUGUAAGAUAGUGGUUUCGGAAGUCCUGCCCAGGAGCGGACUUGUAUGAUAAAUAAGAUGAACUGUUUGUGCUAUGUAAGCCAUGAUGUAUGAUGUUUAAGUAAGUAUGUUAAUUAAAGUGUGAUGUGUUUUUAAACAGAUGUCUGCUAACAACCAUGGAGCUAGUUCGUCCCAGGGUGGGGAUGAUUUUCCCAAUGCACCACCAGUUCCACCCUCUUUGGCUGAUGCAAUUGCAGCAUUGGUCAAUGCAACAACUCUGUUAGCACAAAACCAGAAUGUUGGUCAGCGUGGCCGUGGUCGCAAUAACCGAGAAGAAACCACAUAUGUUGACUUCACAGAUACUCGUCCCCCAGUUUUCACAAAAGCCGAUGAACCUCUUGAAGCUGAGGAUUGGCUUCGCACUAUGGAACAAAAGUUCAGUCUCAUCAACUGUACUGAAACUCAGAAGCCAGCUUUCGCCGCUCAGCAGCUGAGAGGAGCAGCAGGGGUUUGGUGGGAAAACUUACUGGCUGUUCAACCAGCCCGCCACCGAAUCACUUGGGGAGAAUUCAAGGAAGCCUUCAGGGCUCAUUACAUUCCCAAGGGAGUUAUGAAAAUGAAGCUCGAAGAGUUCUUAGCUCUCCGUCAGGGGGAUGACUCAGUCAUACAGUAUAUUGGAAAGUUUAAUCAUCUGUCCCAAUAUGCAAUUGAGCAAGUCAACACUGAUGAAAAGAAGAAGGAUUGUUUCAUGAGAGGCUUGAAUACAAAGCUUCAACUGAUGAUGGCAUCAUGUGGCAAUAUAUCUUAUCAUGAGGCAGUGAACAUUGCUAUCUCCAGUGAAGAAAAGAACCGCAAACAUAAGGAGGCUAAGAAGAAGAAGGGGUUUGUCUCAGGGUCUGGAUCAUCUGGCGGCAACAAGAAGCGCCAGAGGCUCAUAUAUCACCCAGCUCAGCAGUUCCGCCCAUCUUACCGCCCUCCUUAUCAGCCACCUCAGCAACAGAAUAUGCAGAGGAGUUUUGCAAGGCCGCCAAUGCCAUUCAAUGUUCAACGUCAGCCAAAUGUUCCUGCCGUCCGUCCGCCAGUGCCACAAGCUGCAAACAACCCUUGCUAUAAUUGUGGGAAGAGUGGACAUUUUUCUCGUGAAUGUCCAUAUCCAAGGCAAAAUGUUCCAAAUGUCAAUGCACCAAGACCAGUUGGAAAUCAGCAAGCAAAUCAGAACAAAGGUCAUGCCCAGAAUCAGCAGAAGGGUAAGGGUACUCAGAAAACAGGAAGGGUUUUCCAUACUCAAGUUGAAGCUAUACCUGAGGGAGAACCAGUGAUGCUUGGUAUGUUCCCUGUUGCCCAACACCCAGCGCUUACACUUUUUGAUUCUGGUGCAUCACAUACUUUCAUGAAUAGAACAUUUGCGGAAAAGCAUAAUAUACCUAUUGGUGCAACCAAAGAUGAGUUCUUUAUACAGUCACCUGGGGGUCGACUAUGCACUAAGGAAAUGGUACAUCAGGUGCCAAUAGACUUGGGUGGAUAUAUAUUUCCAACAUCCAUGAUAGUGUUAAAAGAUCCGAGUAUAGAUGUGAUCUUGGGUAUGAACUGGAUGAGUCAGAGAGGUGCAGUUAUAGACACCUUAAAUAGAACCAUCAAGGUCUACUUAUCUAAUAGCAAGUCUCAACUUCUUAUCCAUCUUCCUACCCUUAAGAAAGCAGUUGAGCAAGUGUGUGCUAUCUCUGUCAAGGAAAUCAAGGAUAUUCCAGUGGUCUGUGAGUUUCCUGAUGUGUUUCCAGAAGAUUUACCGGGUCUGCCACCUGAUCGUGAUGUGGAGUUUGAGAUAGAACUCAAGCCAGGGACAGCACCAAUAUCUAGAAGAGCUUAUAGAAUGCCACCAAAAGAAUUAGCAGAAUUAAAAACUCAGUUGCAAGAAUUGAUGGAUAAGGGUUUCAUUCGACCUAGUUCAUCACCAUGGGGUUGUCCGGCAAUCUUUGUGAAGAAAAAGGAUAAUACCUUGAGGCUAUGUGUGGACUAUCGUCCUUUGAAUGAAGUAACAAUCAAGAAUAAGUAUCCUUUGCCCCGUAUUGAUCUUCUCUUUGAUCAACUAACUGGUGCUAAGGUAUUUUCAAAGAUAGACUUGAGAUCUGGGUAUCAUCAAAUUAAGAUCAAGCCAAAAGAUGUUCCGAAAACAGCAUUCACUACCCGAUAUGGUCUGUAUGAAUAUCUGGUCAUGUCUUUUGGUCUGACAAAUGCCCCAGCACAUUUUAUGUAUUUGAUGAAUUCAGUGUUCAUGCCAGAGUUAGAUAAGUUCGUGGUGGUAUUCAUUGAUGACAUUCUCAUCUAUUCCAAAACUAAAGAAGAACAUGAAGAGCAUCUCAGGAUAGUGUUAACUCGCCUGAGAGAACAUCAAUUAUAUGCUAAGUUUAGCAAGUGUGAAUUCUGGAUAGAUGAAGUUCAAUUUUUGGGUCAUGUCCUGUCAGCUGAAGGUGUUGCAGUAGACCCAAGCAAAGUUCAAGAAGUUCUUGACUGGAAGUCACCAACUUCAGUACAUCAAGUUCGGAGUUUCUUAGGAUUGGUGGGGUAUUAUCGCAGGUUUAUCCCUGACUUCUCCAAGAUCUCUAAACCAAUGACAACACUGCUAAAGAAUGAUACCAAGUUUGUGUGGUCAUCCGAGUGUGAAGAAGCUUUUCGGACUUUGAAAAAGUUGUUGACCACUGCACCAGUGCUAGCUCAACCUGAUAUUGAAAAAUCUUUUGAUGUGUAUUGUGAUGCUUCAGGCAAAGGCAUCGGGUGUGUACUAAUGCAAGAAGGCAGAGUCAUUGCAUAUGCUUCACGACAACUUAAGCGUCAUGAAGAGCAUUAUCCAACCCAUGAUCUAGAGUUGGCAGCUGUAGUCCAUGCUCUGAAGAUCUGGCGACAUUAUCUAUUGGGCAAUACUUGUCACAUAUAUACUGAUCAUAAGAGUUUGAAAUAUAUCUUUACUCAGUCAAAGUUGAAUAUGCGUCAGAGAAGAUGGUUAGAACUGAUAAAAGAUUAUGAUAUUGAGGUACAUUAUCACCCAGGCAAAGCCAAUGUAGUGGCAGAUGCACUCAGCCGAAAGAGCCAUUGCAAUUGUCUGGAAGUUAAGCCGAUAAACCUUACCUUGUGUUAUGAAUUUGAAAAGUUAAGUCUUGAAAUGAUUCCACAAGGAAGUCUUGCAAAUAUGACAGUUCAGUCAUCUAUCAAAGAUCAAAUUAUUACAGCCCAACAAGAAAAUAAGGGUAUAAUCUUUUUGAAAAGAAAGGUUCAGUCUGAACCAAAUUCUAAGUUCAGAAUAGAUGAAGUUGGAGUGAUUUGGUUCAAGGAUCGUUUAGUAGUUCCAAAGGUCCCUGAACUCAGAAAACAAAUUCUUGAUGAAGCUCAUGCAACAAAACUUUCAAUCCAUCCAGGUAGUAAUAAGAUGUAUCAUGAUCUAAAACAAAGAUUCUGGUGGACUAAGAUGAAGCUUGAAAUUGCUAGUUAUGUGGCUAGAUGUGAUACUUGUCAAAAGGUGAAAGCAGUUCAUCUUAGGUCUGCGGGAGAAUUGCAACCAUUGCCAAUUCCAUCUUGGAAAUGGGAUGACAUUAGUAUGGACUUCAUAGUGGGUCUACCCAGAACCUCGAGAGGGUUUGAUUCCAUAUGGGUCAUUGUUGAUCGUCUGACCAAAUCGGCCCAUUUCAUUCCAGUAAGAAAGGAUUAUCGAGCUUCUGACUAUGCUAAGAUAUACUUUAACAGAAUUGUGAGUCUACAUGGUGUUCCAAAGACUAUUGUAUCUGAUAGAGGGACACAAUUUGUGAAUGCUUUCUGGAAGCAUUUGCAUAAGUCCUUAGGUACCAAACUUCUGCAUAGUACAGCUUAUCAUCCACAAACUGGAGGUCAGACUGAAAGAGUCAACCAGAUCUUGGAAGAUAUGUUAAGAUCUUGUGUGCUCAGUUAUUCAGAGAAGUGGCACGAAUGUUUGCCUUUAGCAGAAUUCUCUUAUAAUAAUAGUUAUCAAGAGAGCAUUAAGAUGGCACCAUUCGAAGCUCUAUAUGGCAGAAGGUGUAGGACACCUUUGAAUUGGUCCGAACCUGGAGAACAUAGUCUUUUCGGGGUUGACUUAGUCAGAGAAGCCGAAGAGAAAGUCAGGCUCAUUCGAGAGAAUAUGAAGAUAGCACAGUCGAGACAAAAGAGUUAUGCUGAUAAGAGACGCCGGUCUCUUAGCUUUGAGGUUGGUGAUUAUGUAUACCUCAAAGUAUCACCUAUGAAAGGAGUCACUCGAUUUGGAGUAAAAGGAAAGUUGGCACCUCGAUAUAUAGGUCCGUAUCAAAUCCUUGAAAGAUGUGGGAAGGUGGCAUAUCGUCUAGAUUUACCACCACAGUUGUUAUCAGUACACAAUGUGUUCCAUGUCUCUCAAUUGAAGAAAUGUCUCCGAGUGCCUGAUCAUAUCAUUCAUGUUGAAGAAAUUGAGUUAAAGCCUGAUCUGACAUAUUCAGAGUAUCCUAUCAAGAUUUUGGAUCAAAAAGAUCGAGUCACUCGUAGAAGAACUAUCAAAUACUACAAGGUGCAAUGGAAUCAACAUACCGAAGAUGAAGCCACGUGGGAAUCCGAAGAGUUUCUCUUAGAAAGUUUUCCUGAGUUUCUUUCUUCUGUCUUAUCCUUGUAAUCUUUAGUGUUAUGAUCUACCCCUGUUUUUGUAAAGGUUGGUUUUAGAAGUGCUUGACAAACUUCCUUUUCUAUUAGUUAGACUUUAAGGUAAAUCUCGGGACGAGAUUUCUUUAAGGGGGAAAGAGCUGUAACACUCUGGUGUUAAGCGAACUAAAACAUGACAUGUCAUCAUGAGCAUUGCAUCAUAAAUUCGUUAAGCACACACUAAUGCAUUAACUUAAAAUAAGUUUAAAUUGGAUGAAUGUGUUUAGGAAGUAAAGUGUGUUUAUUUUAUGUAUGGAUGUUUGUUUUGGAGUUUAAAAACCUUGGGUGAAAGUUUUUCCGAAAGGCUUAGGGGGGAAACCCUAGUUUUCAAAACCCUAGAUUUGUCCCCUUUUGUGUAAUUUAAAAACUAAGCAAAAUUUGAAGUUGAGUUCAAAAGCAAAGUUGUAGAUCUUGUCAAGAUGUACAACUUUGGUGUUUUGAGUUUUUGAAGUUUCAGUACAAAAUUCAAAGUAAUUUUGAAAAUACAGAUUUCCGAAAAGUGUCCCCUUUUCAAACUUAAAUCUCCAAUUCAAAAUCUGUUUGGAAUUUUGAAAAGUGGUCAACAUGAAAGUUGUAGAGCUUGAAAAGUUGAACAACUUUCAUGUUGGGAGUUUUUCAAGUUGUUAUGCAAAAUCAAAAGUAAUUUUAGAAAUUCUGUUUUGCCCUAAUUCAAAAAUUUGGGAUUAAGCUUGAAUUUCAAACUGUUUGGCUCAAAUUCAUCCCUUUCCAUUUCAAAUUUGUCUUUGGUCACUAAAGAUGUUUUGUAGCAUUCAAAAUUCUGAGCAUUUGAUAUUUUGACAUAUUUUUAUCUUCUAUUCAAAAUCUCAGAGUAAUUUUAAGUUUUCAGAAAGGGUAUUUUGGGGAAAAGGGGGAUAAGCUCGGUCCCUGUUCAUGGCGGUGUACCGCCGAGCGUCGAUCGGCGUUUGCCGACUCGUGAACCGCCGUUUCAUCUCGUCCAAGCACGUACUCGCGUCCGUGGCAAAGUGGAGCAGCUGCUGGCGAAGUGGAGCGCGACGUGCCCUUUUCUCCCGCGAGCACCGACCUCCUUUCCGCCACCGGAGCACCGAGGAGCAGUACCCCGUCCUCAUCCAAAUUGGCCGUGCUCGAUCAUCCUCGUAUCAAAUUGAGCCAUCCACGAUGUUCGCCAUCUCCUUGCGAAUCCAGAACACCACCAAGCUCGCCCCAUAACCCUCUCAAUCGCAGAAACACCUCCAUCCUCUCCAUCUCCGGCCAGAACUGCCGCCGUGGGGCUCUUACCGUGGCCACGGUGUUCUCGUCGGUAUCACGUUUCCCUGGCAGCUGUUUCGGGUUCCUCUUGUGUUCUAGUAGCUCAUGCUCUCUCUCUUUUGCUUUGGGCACGAACAGAAUCGCCGGGACGAGCUCGCCGGAGCCGGAGCGCCCGCCCGAUCGCACUGUCUCCGUCGCCAACAACUUCAGCUACUUCUCCCACCGUGGUGACGUGAGCAUCGUGUUCCCUACACCACCUUGAACCUCCCUACGCCAUUCGUUUGCUCUCUACCGGGUCCUAGUGGCCGGCCGACAGUCGGCCAUGGCGACCGCCCGCUCCUAUCGUGGCCGAGGUGGUAGCAGUGAGGUAGAGCGUCCGCGAGUGGUACCAAUGGAGUCGCGGAGUUGAGGCGGAGCCGAUGCGCGCGCGCGCGGAGGCCGAGGGCCUCGCUAUCGGUCGCCGGAGUUGCGGCCGAGCCGCCGUGCGUGAGAGAGAGAGAUCUGACGGGUGGGGCUACCCUGUCAGUGGCUGAGAGAGAGAGAGAGCGCGCGGGCGUGCGCGGCGCGGACGCGGGCCGGGAGCAGUGGGCCGGUCUGCGGCCCAGUUUCGAAGCAACCCACUGCGCAGUGUCUUUUUUUUUUUUUUCUUUUGUGCAGUUUUUUGCUUGAUAUUUGAAAAUUGUGUAUUAAUUUGUGUAGUGAUCCAAAAAUAGUGAAACUUUUUGUAUAGCUUACAUAAAAUGGAUAGAGCCUAAGAAAAAUGUUAGGUUUGAUUUUCUGGUAAUUUUCAUGUAUACAUAAAUUGCCUUUGUUUAUUAAUGAAUAAACCUUCCUUGAUUUUUAAUAGUUCAUAGGUAUAUCCAAAAAUCAUGAAAUUUAAUAUGUGAGCUUGUGUUAAUGUUAUUUAGCUCCAUGAUUAAUUUCAGCUCUGUUUGAUCAAGUAUGCUCUGUUUCUUGAUAAAGCUAUUUAAAAUGCUUAUAAAAGAAAUAGAAAUAAUUAAUACCUUUAGGAUUUGGGUGAUAUUUUGCAUUGUUUGACAACCAUGGUUACUUAGCAUGAUAUGCUCCCUGGUUAUGGUUUAUUUUCAUGUAAAUAAUCUUUAUGGUAUGAUAGAUUCACAAUUAUUGCUUAAUAAAAAUAAUAAAGUUGGUUUAGAAGUGAUUUAUGCUUUGAUAGUUAGCUUUGUUUGUUUCUUUACCAUGAAGGUAAAGUGUACUCGAGAUAAUCAUAUUUUGUUAUAUCAUCCAAGAACAUGUAACUUGUCUUUAUCAUGCCUUGAGUAUAUCAUAAUCAUGCAUAUGCACUUUUACGUAUAGAGUACGCUCCGGAAGAAUCUGAUCCCCAGUGGGUUUCUUCCGAGUUUGUGGAUCCUUUGGGUGUUGUUGAGUUGUCGAACGUCCCCUCCGACCAAGGCAAGCCCCGGACAUUAAACCCUAUUCUUGUAUUUUCAUAAAGUUAUUUAUAUCACUUGAGUUAAUAUGAUGCAUUAGGUGAAUAGGAGUUGAGUGAAUCCUAUUUGCUGCAUUAUCUACUUUGAUGAUUUCCAUAUUAACCUUGAUACCUGCUUUAUGAAAAUGCUUAGUAUGCUUAGCCCUGCUUAUUAGAUAAGUUUUCAAAUGAAAGAGUUUGAAGGGUUGUUGUGGAAUACUUUUAUGGUUAAUAAUGUUUAAACUUGAGACCGGUCGGUGGACUUGCUUUAAGAAUGGAGUCUUAAAGUAGUGUCUCCAACUGAGUCGAUUAAGGACCGUACCGUUGAUUGGCCUGUUGUGAUUGAGACCUUUGAGUACAGCCCACAUGCGCUGGUAAGCCUUACCUAUAGCUAUUCCGAUACUUGAGAACGGCUAACCGCGUACUGGGAGUGGAAAGAUGGCGAGAGUAGCGUGUACCCACCUUACGGAUCUGAGAUGACCGGGAAACAUCUAGAUUGGCCGUAGGAUGGUGGUGUACUGUACUCUCGGGUGACGCUGGACCCGUUCUUGUAUGGGAGGAUCUAUAGAAAAGGUUGACAUAUGCAAGAUUAAGUUCUACAUAUGUCGUGUGGUACUGAAUCCCCAGCUGGGUUUAAUCGAUUCGAAUCGCCGUGUUUCCUCGGAUAUGGAGUCUCAAUCCUCGUACCAUCAUCGUAGUAAUAAGUGAAUCUUGGUAUAAGAAAGAUAUGGUUUACUUAUGAAAGUUUGAUAAUAGUUUUGAUUAGUCAUAAAUGAUAAUCCUGAGUUAAAACUUGAAAGUAGGUUUUACUCUUAGUAAGCUUUUAUGCAAAAAGAAAUGCUUUGAUCUUGUUAAAGCUUUACCUUGAAUCCCUAUAGCCUGCAUACCUGAGUCUUCACCUCUUUUAUAGUCGGUUAAGUCUUGUUGAGUACUUUUGUACUCAGGGUUUCUUAACCCAUGUUGCAGGUGAGUCUUUUGAUAAUCCUUUUGAUGGUCAUGGUUACUUUACUCUUGUGGAGGAGAGUGACGAUGAGGAUCCUGAUGUGUGACCUUGGGCAAGUAAAAACUUAUUGUGUGAUCUAUGGUUUAUGUAAUAUAAAGUUCCGAAGCUUUUAUGUAUCAAAUACUUAUGGUUUGUAAACUAUGAACUUAAGUUUCAAUCUAUGUUAUGUAACCUUUCCGCUUUUACUCUGAUUUCUCUUAUCUAUGAAAUGUUGUAAUACUGCGAUGCUUGAUGAGGGAAUUCCUGAAAAGAAUGUUACGUGGAUGAUUCGGGUUUCCCGAGGACACCCGACAGACUUCUUGAGUCAUUUGGAACUCGUGCACGUCGAUCAGAAGUCUUUGGGACAAUGAUGUGUGCAUGUGGGCCACUUAAUUCAGGAGGUUCUGCCACAGCGAACCACGCCUACCACCAUCCUACUUACGCUUUUAUCUUCGCUUCACGUAAAUAGGAUGGUGGUAGGUCGGUUCGCUCAGCGUGUAGAUUAGAUCUAAACAGUUUGGACUCUAGGGUGUUACAAAUGGUAUCAGAGCCGACCUUCAUGACCACGCGUGCGGGUCAGAGCGCGGACAUGGGGUUCAUUGUGCAUGUAGGCCCCCUGCGGGAUGCACGACAUGACACAUGUGUUGGCACUGGACGUACGGUCGUGUGUACUAAGAGGGAACGUUCCUAGUCAUCAUUUGCCCGAUUGUGGGUAUGUUGAGUCGACGAGGAUGUCGGGUCCUUUGAGGGGGGUGUUUGUCACACCCAGCCUAAUUUGAAAUUUGGCCUGUGAUGGCUCAUUUGCAUAUUAUAAGAUAAUUAUGGAGGGUUUAGUCUCACCUUGGUUGUUAAGAGUGAGUUUUAGACCAACAUAUAAGGCUUCUAAAGUCAAUCCCAUGAUAUUCGCGUUAAUCCUUUUACACGAAGCGAGAACGAAAACGUAAGUAGGAAGGUGGUAGGUGUGGUUCGUUCAACGUGUAGAGUGGAUCUAAACCGUUUGGACUAAUCUAUUCGUGAGGUACGGUGACUUCACACUAAAUAUUGAUGACCUUGAUGGAGCGGGGCUAAAAUGGUACUCGAGCAACGACACAACAAUCACAAUUAUAGUGGAUAUAUUAUUGUGACCGAAGUACAAUAGUAACAAAGACCUUCGAUGGAACACACGAUGCACAAAAUUAAAUAACAAAGACCUUCUGAGUAUGGAGCUACCCGAUGCUCAGGGAAAAUAUACCUACACUCGAUGCCAGCAGAACCCGUUGGGCUCAAAGCUCUUGGCGGAGAACUUCUAUACACGCAUGGAGCUCUCUCUCUCAGAUCCGUUGGAUCAUCGGUGCUUGAAUCUGAAACAAAGCACAGGGGCAUGUUAUAAGUCUUCUACGGAUUCUAUAUAUCAAUAUGACACUUAAGUGAUAGGAGUUUAGCAUCAUGGUCUGUGGUGCCGACCUUGAUGCCAUAUAGAUAUUGCCGUCCACCUCGGCACCCUAGAUCAUAGCGCCAAGGUGGGGAACUAAAAUUUGCACGUGUGCCAUCCCAGGCCGUCAGCCCUUUCUUCCUCCCUAUCCUCUCAUCAUGAGUUUAUUUGACCAUGAAAUAAGAUUGAUGUGUGCUUGAUUACUAUUACUGUGUUUUAGGAUUACAGUGUACUUCAUUCAUUUUGUAAUAUAGUGCAUUCUAGCAUUUAAAAUUUAUCCUCAAAUAAUAUAAUACAUUUUAGAGGACAACAACCAAUUCUACAUUAAAUACUUUUUAUUUUAUCAACCAAUCAUAAUCAUGUUGAUGAUAGCGUCUGACUAGGAAUAAAAUCAAGAUAUAUGCGUAUUUUAUGUUCCCUCUUAAUUUGUUUUAAAAUUUUUAGAAUGCACUCAAGAUGGAGGGAGUAGGUCCUUGGUUUAUGGAUUAAUUAUUCGUAGUUGUUCAUUUUGAGAUUAUCCUAUAUAAAAUAUCAGUUUUUUGUAUGAAGUAGAUGGACAAGCUUGUAAGCUUGCAUCACGGAGCUAGGUGGAGACUGGUAAGUAUGGUUAUGUUGUGUUGAGUUUAAUGGAAUGCAAAGGUUUCUAUGGUCUUCAGGACUCGACCAUCACUUAGGUAGUAUGGGCAAGCUUGUAACCUUGCAUGAGCAUUUAGUUCAGGAAACUGUGAGCUAGCUCUGUACAUAGACAUCACUUACUGCAAGCUGCUUUCUAGUCUUUCAUGAUAAACACAAGGGCCGCUUUCUACUUCCACACGAUCUCUUAAAACAUGCAUGCAUGCGCAUAUAUAUGUGUUUGCUCUUAUUACAUCGCUCAACUAGCUGCUCAUACACGACACUCAGUUGGAUCGGAUACUUUCAAAUUGGGCGUGUACCGAGCGGCAUCUCAUCCCCAGAUGACAACUUGCCUCCUGGGCAUUCAAAGGUACACGUGCAUCGUCGGAUAAAAAGGAUCCAGCCUUUGCAAUACCCGCCGAUACCGAGGUCAUGUUGAACGCAUGAGUUCGCACAGUCCUUAUUGCUCACGCAUCGUCCGUGGUAAAAACCAUUAGUCCUCGAGCAGAUAGCUGCUUCCGCACCUACGUAAAAUCAUAAACCGCUCGGUGGUUAAUUUAGGAACAUAUGCACCAUACAUACUCUUGAAAAAAGCUUCAUAGUAAUAUAUAUAUAUAUAGCUCCGAGGUACCGGAGGUAUAUAUGUCACCAAGUGUCCAGAUAGAAGUAGUUUUCCUUUAGUAUUUCAACAAACUUCAUAAGCAGAAAGGUUUGUUUUAGUUUUUACUUACAAUAGGUCACAAGGAGCAAGGCGAGGAUGAAGACAACAGGCACCGCUACAAUCUUGUUAGAUGCCAUGGUUAUUUGGUGUGAGGAAAAGAGCAUAUACAUGUUCAAUAUUUAUAGUGGUUGCUUGAUCUGGCCUGCGAAGGUGACUAUUCAAACUCAAUUCACAAUUUAAGCAUUUGUAGCAGCAUUCGAAUUUUUCCUACAAUUUAAGCAUUAGUAAUAAUUAGUAUCCUUAUUAUAUGUGUCAACAUAAUUUGGUAUUUAGAAAACGAUUAGUGUGUUCUAUUUCUAUGAACUCUGUAAGGGUAGGUGUUAAUUUAAUCUAUACACGCUACAAUCAUUUUUAUUUUAUUAAUCUAUUCUAAAAUCAGAGAAAUGUUUGCAUUUCUAGAUGGAGUAGUUUUUUUCAUUGGCUGUUGGCAGUUACAUUCAGCCGUAUAUAUCUAUUUGUGUAUCCAUCCAUCUACAUCCGGAUCCCUAACAGCAUUGCUUUGGAUUCAAGAAAUAGUGAUGUUACUCGUUUGCUUUCGCUUCACUUUCAAGAUAUGAGAAGUUGUUUAUCUUGUUCCUAGCGAUACUAGAGUUUUAGAGAUUUAUCUUUGAAAACAUAAAAAUCUUACAUGAUGAGCUCCUGUACGAUAAAGCUUGAAUUCCUACCGAAGCCAUAUAUGAUAGAUUAGAAAAAAAAACUUUCACUCAUACAUAUAUGCUACUUGCUUUGCAUUGAGUUUGGUCAAGCUUUGUUGAUGCCUUAUGAGAGGUUCGUCAUGCUUUUGAAAUCAAGACCACGUACACACCACCAUAUAUGCAUUAUUCCUACACUAGGAGUAGGUGCAACAACAUGUCAUUCCAUCUAUAUUAACCUGAAAAUAUUUUACGCCUACACUGGGAGUGAAUAUCAAAAAUAUUUUCUAUAGGACAGCCCCCAAACAUAGCAGCCAUGAUCUUGUUCCCGUUUCCAGAAUGAGAACGAGAACAAAAACUUGGGGUAUUAUUUAUAACAUGGGGACAGGAAUAUUUACGUUUCCGAAACGUGGAACAUGGAAACGGGAAUGUGGAUCAUGUUUCCGUUCCUAGGUUGCUAAGCUGCCAAAUAUUUCUCUAAAUUAUUCCUGCUAUCUCUCAAAAGUUUUGUUAUAAAACGAGACAUGUGGCUAUUGAAAAAGUUAUUUGAAAAAAAAGUACUAAAAAAGAAUGGACAAGUGUCCAAGAUAUUAAACAAUGGAUACUCUGAUACCCAUCUAAAAAGAGAGAGAAGAGAAAGAAUGAUAAAUAAAGAUAGCUCAUAUUUUCUUAUAAAGUUAUUUCUAAGUUCCAAUAGAGAAAUAUGUUUUCAAGGAGCAAAGUAGAAUUAGGAUUAGCCACUAUCUUGAUUUGAUUGUAUGACUAAAUAUGCCUUUGACCACACAUAAUCUUCGAUCAAGAUGGGGUUAGAAUGGAAAAACUAACAAGCGCCAUCAUCAGUGCAAGAUGCUAACAAUAUAAAGCAAUAAGAUGACAAUUCAAGGAGAUAAAUAAAGUGGAUCUAACUCAAUCUUAACCAGGCAAGGGAUUCGUGUCAAAAUCUAUACGAGGUUAGACCUAAGUGAUGCAGUUGUGCGGAUUUUGAUAAGAAUCAAAGGAUAACGUACUAUCAGAAAUCAUAAAAGAUCAAACUUAACUGAGAUAAUCUUACCAUUAACUUAAGCGACGAUAACUAACUUAUACAAAGCUUGCAAGAGGUCAGACUUAACCGAUGCAACCGAACAAGAGAUGAGUCAUGAUGGAUACUCAUAGACAAACCGAAGGUUGGACAUGACCGAUGCAGCUCUGCUCGCCGAAGAACUCAUCAAAAUCUCCUCUACUUCUCUUAAGGGGUGGCCGAAACCGAGAAAGUAUAGGCAAGGUUUUGGGAUUCAAAACGCUAAAAAAUUCGGUGGUCGCUGAAUUUGACGAAAUUCAGAAAUUUCGGACCAGUUUUCAGUUAAGUUGACCAGUCAAUUUUUUUGUGUUUACCCAAAUUUUGACCGAAAUUUGACUGAAUUGUAACAAAUUUUGUCCAAUUUUUUUUUAUAAAAAAGAGAACAGAAAAGAAAUCUGUUAAAAACGAUGAAGCAAUGUACCAGGCUUUGAUCAAGGCUUUAAAACAAUUAAUACUUCAAUAGUUUUCAAACACAUAGGCUACAGCCAACACAAAUUUAAUUUCACAAUAGCCCAAAAAGGCAUAACAUAAACUGAGCCAAUAUUUAGACAAUACAGUCUUUAGGAGUUUGUUCAUAGCUCCAUAAAUAGCAGGGGAUAUCAGUAGGCUAGUAUGGACCUUGGGCUGGACCGAAAAUUUAAAUUGGGCUGAAAUAAUUUGGCUGGUUCAAUUCUUUCUCGGGCUUGUCCGAAUUGGACGAAAACCACAGAAUUUCGGGCCUUUCGGGUCGAAUCCCAAAUCCUUGAUUAUAGAUAAUUUAGGUAAUUGAAAAUUCAGGUAAUAGAAAUUGCUAUCUAAUUUACCUCUAAAAACACUACCGCAAAUUCGGGUACACAAUAAUUCAAGUUAAGGUUCAGGUAUUCCCAAUCUAUCCGAAAUUCAGAUAACUCAGCAAUCUGUACAGGCGUGGUGGUGCGCUGGUGCUGACGCCGGCCACCGGGUAGUGGUGCCCUGGUGUGGGAGCUUAGCCGCACAGGGGCUCGGGCACAGGCGCACAUCACAGCCAAGGUCGAGGUCAGGCACAACACAGCCGGGUCCGAGGUCGCCGGUAUGGAAGCUCGGCCAUGCGGGACAGUGAACGGUCGUGCAUCCAGACUGGAUGUCGCGGAGGGUUGCUGGCGGCCGAGCGUCGAGCCUGCGGUCAUGCGGCUGGGGUUCUACUGCUCCGCUCGGGGAUAGUCAACAAGUGGAGUUGAGGGAUUGUGGACUCCUGGACGGGAUUACGAUGGCCUCACGGAGUCACGGGGCUGCUUUGUGCUGGACUGCCCGUAGACACAUAUAGAGUGAAGCGGAAUCAUGAGCGGUUGAGAGAAUGGGUUGGUGAGACUUGCUUGCUUCCCUAGGGAGAUCAGGGGUGGCGUGGUUGUCGUUAGUCUUACAGCGACAGUGAAGGAAGGGAGGACACGAGGCGCACCGACGAGCCAGCGCAGCAAGGAGUGAGAGGGCGCAGAGAGUAGGGAUAUCUUAGGACAGAGGAAGCGCAGGGCUGGGCGGCCACGCGAACUGGCAGUGGAGGCGUCCAUCGGCUUAAGGACGGGAAAGAAGUGGGGACUCACCGGCCGGAAUUGGGGAAGAAGCGGGCGACCUCUAGCCAGGGAGCUCGGCCGCCCGGCGAGAUCCGCCCAGCCACCACGCGGGCGAGCGCACCCUUGAUGCCGCCGAGGGAGGAGGAGAAGGAGUCACUCGGGUAAGCUCAGAACGAGGCAGAGGCGUGCGGCCAGUCGGAGCUCGACGACCACCGGUAGCGAGUGCUGGGGAACUGCUCUGGUUAGAUGGUGCAUUGAAGACGAUGCAGAUGCGAACGAGUUGACAACAGGACCGGUCACGGGCGCUUUUAGAUGGAUGCAGGUGACUCGAUUGAUUUUUUCCCUUUUUUACUAGUUCCUUUUUUUCUUGGUCCCACACAUAAACAAGGACAACAGGACGAGUCACAACGCUUCUAGGAGGCUUUACUAAAAAAACGUUUUUUUUUUUUCUUUUUUUUGUUCUCGUACCCACAUGAAUCGGUGAUGUGUUGUGUCCAUAGUAGCCUAGGGCCUAUAUUGACACAUAUUAUGGGAAAAAAUUUUAAUUCUAAAUGUAUUUUUAUUUGUGGGAUGGAGAGAGUACCAGAGCACAGGAACAAUCAUGAGACUUCAGGUGCUUCAGGACUUCAUGACCAGAUCCGGGGGUCAUUUGCGACGGAAGAACGGUCAUGAGACUUCAGGUGCAACAUGGUCAUGAGGCCAUGUGUGGAAGUUGUGUAUCUUGCGUCGCAACGAAUUGGAAAAUUCCUAUGACCUCAUGACCAUGUUGCACCGUGUGGUAUUAUUGUCAAAAUGUUAAUGGUAUGUGUCAUUCCGAAGAAAAGUAAAUCAUAUUAUUUUAUCUCAAUCAAUUUUUUGUCCACUUGCAAUGCACAGGUAUUUUUGCUAGUUGGAACAAAAAGUACCGAACCUUGUCCAUGAAGAUAUGUUUCACAUCACAUACCAUCAGUUUUGUUUAUAUCACUUAAUUACUUUCAUGCGAUAGAUUGAUUUAAAAUACGCUGUGUACAUAUAUAUGUUUUGCUUUUAUUCCAUCGAUAAAUUGCAUAAGCACUCAGACAUAUACUUCCAAUUUAGACUUGAAAGGGUGCCUCAUCCCAAAAUGACUACUGGUGCUCGUCGGAAUGCGGCUUGACCCUUGGCGGAUUUCGUCUCCCCCUUCCCCCUCUUGGCGGAUUUCCUCCUCCCCCUUCGUCUCCCCCUCCCUCCUCUGGUGGAUUUUCUCCUCCCCCUCCCCCUCCCCCUCCACCUCCCCCAGGGCAUUCAAAGGUACAAAAGCAUUUUUUGAAAAUACGGACAUUGCCCUUGCAGUAUCCGCUAGUGCCAAGCCCAUGUUGAGUACACGAGUUCGCACAGUUCUUAUUGCUCCGGCAUAAGCCUUGGUAAGAAGUAUUAUGCCUUGAGCAGAUUGUUGCCUCCGCACCUGCGUACAAUCAUAAAUCACCAAGUAGUUCGAAGCAUAAUAACAACAUGUACUCUUGAAUGUAGCUUCAAAGUAAUCGCUCCAUGAUAUAUUGUAGAGGUAUAUGUGUAAUUAAAUGUCGAAUUAGAAGUAGAUCUACUUUGAACCAUGGCAAGGUUGAUUUAGUUACUUACAAUAGGCAACAAGGAGCAAGGCGAGGAUGAAGACACCAGGCACUGCUACAAUCUUGUUGGAUGCCAUGGUUACUUGGUGUGAUGAAAAGAGCAUAUACAUGUUCAAUAUUUAUAGUGAUUGCUUGAUCUGGCCUGUGUAGGUGGCUAUUCAAACUCAAUUCACAAUUUAAGCAUUUCUAGCAGCAUUCGAAAUUUUCCUACAAAUGUAAUCAUUUCUAUCAUGAUCUACCCCCUAUAUCCCUCAUUAAUAAUAAUUAGUUUCCUUAUAUGUGUCAACAUAAUUUGGUAUUUAGAAAACGAUUAGUGUAUUCCAUUUAUAUGAUCUCUGUAAGGGUAGGUAUUAAUUGAAUCUAUGUGCGCUACAAUCAUUUUCAUUUUCUUAAUCUAUUCUAAAAUCAGAGAAAUGUUUGCAUUUCUAGAUGGAGUAGUUUUUUUCAGUGGCUGCUGGUGUAGUUACAUUCAGGCGUAUAUAUCUAUUUGUGUAUCCAAUCCAUCUACACCCCUAGCAGCAUUGCUUUGGGUUCAAGAAAUAGUGAUGUUACUCAUUAGUUUUCACUUCACUUUCAUGGGGACUGUGAGGCGCACAACCAUCGGUAUCAGUAUUAACUAACCAUUAUUUGGAAUCCUUCAGGCAACACCAAACUAGAGGUGUGCCCUAGUAAUGCUGUACUUACACCCUCUCAAGUUGGGUGAACUCUGAUUUUCUAACACUAGAGCAGACGCUAAAUGCAUAUAUAGAGGCCUGUCGCAGCUCUUAUCUGCUAAGAGUAUCUCUCUUUCAUCCUUUGCUUGGUUUCAGUCUCUAGCCCCCACAGAUAAGGCUCGGGAACUUAGUUUUUUCUAGUUGGCUUCUCCUUAGUCCACCUCUGAGGUACUUUUAGUAUUCUGGAUGGCUAUCUCUAUAUAUCUAUAUCGAUAACUAUGUCUUUCUAAAUCUCUCUAUCUAUAUCUAAUCUAUUCGCCCCUCCUUCUUAGAAUAUAUAGUUAUGUUAGUUGUUUAAAAUUUUGUCAAAUGCAACUAUUUUUGAGUAUCUAAAGAAUUGAAAUUACGAACAGGCUAAAUUCAUGCACUUUAUUUGUGUGCACAAUUAGUGGAAAUAGAUGCUAGUAUCCACAUAAUAAAGUAUCAUUUUCACUAUCUCUUUAUCUAUCUGUCUAUUUGUCUGUCUAUGUAUCUAUGUAUCUUUGUAUCUAUAUGUCUGUCUAUAUAUCUAUGUAUCUAUCUACCUAUCUAUCUGUCUGUCUAUCUAUCAAUCUAUCUAUAUCUCACUUUUAAACAGGCCUAACCUUUCUUUAGAGAAAUAACUAAUAUCUAGAAAUUAAAGUGGCCAAAAGACAUUCACUGCAUGUACAUUUUACUUACUUAGGAAAUGGUGAUCUUGUUGCACUCAUCAGUUUAAGGUUUAGGGCCUGUUUGGAUAGCUCCCUCGGUUUACCACACAGUAGCUAUGGUGAGCUAAAAGCACGGCGAGCAUUUUGCUCGCCAUAGAUUACUGAAAGCUGAAGCAAAACUUGUAGCAUGCAAGACUUACGACGUGAUUAGGAAGCCAUCCAGACAGAGAGCUAAGUUUAAUUUUUGCGGUCAGUCGUGAAAGCAAUCCAAACAGAACCUUAGGCUUUCUAGGCUAGGUCUGUCAUGAGAAACACACAGGCCAUAUUAGAACAAAAAGUACUGGGGUCUUGUCUUGUCCAUGAAGAAGUUCGUGGAUCAUGCAAAUACUAUUAGUUUUGUUCAUAAUAUAUACUUAAUUACUUUCACACGAUUGCUUAAAACAUGCAUGUGUACAUAUAAAUGCGUUUCUCUUAUUUCAUCAAUCAACAUUUUUUAGAUAAUGGAAACAAAAGGUUCCAGUUUCAUUGAUGAAACAAAAGGUUCCAGUUCCAAUUCGGGCAUAACAUUCAAUUGGACAGUUCCAAUUCGGGCAUGCUAGAUGGCGGCUCAUCUCCAGAUGACAACAACUUCUGCCCGCUGGAUAGCGGCUUGACUCCUGGCAGAUUGCUUCGUCCUUGCCUUGGACAUUCAAAGUUACAUGUGCAUACUCUGGUAGGUGGUCUUCUGCCCUUGCAGAACCCGCUGGUGCCGAUGCCAAAAUGAAUGCACGAGUCUCCACAGUCCUUAUCACUUUGGCAUAAGCUAAGGUAAAAUGGAUUAGGCCUGGUGCAUAUCUUUGCCUCCGCACCUACGUACAAUCAUAAAUCGAUGGAUAGUUAGAACCAUAUACACCACAUAUUUUCCUUCAUGGAGCUCGAACUUGAUAAGUGAGAGAAGGUUUGUUUUAGUUACUUACAAUAGACCACGAGGAGCAAGGCCUGGAUGAAGAUAGUAGGAACCACUACGUCCUUACUGAAUGCCAUAUGGUUAUUUGGUGUGAGAAAAAUAUCAUAGACAUUUUCAAUAUUUAUAAUGGUUUCUUGGACCUCUGGGGUACAUUCAGUGUUCUAGAUAGCUAUCUCAACCUCUAUCUCUAUCUAGAUCUAGAUCUAUCUAUCUAUAGGUAAUCUACUCUCUCCGUCUCAAUUAAAAUAUAAACUAGAUAGAGUGACAUCUAGACUGUCCAGACUAGGACAACAAUUUUCAUGUCAGCCUUGCUUUCGGUUAAAAAGGCAGUGGUGUUAAUGUUGCCCAUUUGGCAUUUGCUCACUUCACUUUCAUGGGGAUUGUGAAGUGCGCACAACCAUCGGUAUGAGUUAACUGACCGCAAUUUGGAAUCCAUAAAUGGUUUCGGGUUGUUCGUCAAGGGAAGCCGUGUCAAUCCCAAAUGCCUCAGUUUUGCACCAUAGUAUGUUGUCGAGAACAUUCAGAGAUCAACCGGGUCCCAAUUUUAUCCUGUACUUCCAACCUCUCAAGUUGGGUGUGAAUUUAGACUUUGGAGUCCUGACGUAUAAUUGCAUAUAGUGCCCUGUCGCAUUUUCCAUUAGCUGCUAGCCAUUUCGUCAUUCACUUAAUUUGGUUUCAGUCUAGACCCAUAGAUAAGGCUCAUGAACCUACUUUUACCUGCAAUUGUUUCAGCCGCCAACUUCCACAGCAGCUGCAUCAUGAUUCAUGUAUGUGCAUUCUUCGUUGUACUUAGCUUGGAGCAAGCUUAUCUGUCGCUCUUGCCUUCAGUUCUUGAUGCAGUCGCUCUUCAGGUCUAAAGAGAGUCUAUGCAUCGUCAGUACUUCGUCUUUACCAUGUCAGUCUACAAACGCUAGUUCCUCUUGCUCUCUCUAACAUUACUCGAUGAAGCAAAUAGUAGGAGCAGUAGCAAGUCUCAAAUGAAAGGCCAAGGAACAGUGAAAAAAGUUACUAGCUCUGUCCCUUCGGUUCUUUUGAGCACGUCCCUUAGAAACUUUACGUUCGAGUUAACGAGUUAUUUUUCUAUUCACAUCACUUAAUUACUAAUAAUAUUUUUUUGGGUUGCAAAUAAUUUUAUUGCGACAUGUCAGCAGUAAAAUUGAUCGGUCUCUUUUAUUCCAUCGUGACUAGAGUAGUAAAACUUAGGUGUAUAAAUAAUUACAUCCAGACCAGACCCCGAGUAGUAAAAUUUACCGCUAGAAGUCUAUAAUGGAAUUAUUUACAUAGCAAAAUGAUACUAUUAGUAAUAAAAAUAGUCUGGCCACAUACCAGAUAUGUCGGUGACUGUCACAUCUCAUUUUUCUAUGCACCUGUCUGGAUGAAACUAUUUAUAUGGCCAAAUGUUACUAUUUAUAAUAAAAAUUCCCUUGUCAAAAUACUGGAUACCUCGUUAAUAAAAAUGAUUCUAUCUAGAUAUGUGAGCAAUAAGUUUUUAUGUGAUAAUCAAUGUGGCGUCCCGUGCCCAAAUGAGGUAAAUUUUAUUACUAAUAGUAUUUAUUUGGUCUGUAAAUAAUUUUAUUGUGCCAUGGUGAUUAUGAUAGGAAAAUUUACCUCUAACAAUCCAAAAAUGAAUUGUUUACAUAGUAAAAUGAUACUAUUAGUAAUAAAAUAGUCUCGAUGUAGAUCGGAUGUCGUGUUGUUUAUCAUAGGCAAAUUUGUUGAACACUGGUGUGCACAGAAUUAUUAGCAAUAAAAAUUAUACUAUCAGUAAUGAAAAAUAACCUCAUCCGAUCAUAGGAUGCCCGUAGCUUGUCACAUACAAAUUUGUUGCACACCGAUCCAGAUAGAAUUAUUUAUAGGAAUAGAUAAUAUUAUUAAUAAUAAAAAAUAAUCUCCUCUAGAUACCAGAUGCCCGUAUAUUAUCAUUAGCAAAUUUACUACACUUCAAUUUAGACAGAAUUAUUUUUAGACACAAAUGAUACUAUGAGUAAUAAAAAUUACCUCGACCGAAAACUGGACACCCCAGUGAUUAAUACAAGCAAAUUUACCGUACAAAGGUUAGGAUGGAAUUGUUUAUAUAACAAACUGAAACUACUACUAAUAAAAAAUAACCUUAUCCGGAUACCAGAUGCCAAAGUGAUAAUCAACCCAAAUUUACUGUACAAAGAUGUCGACAAAAUUAUUUAUAGACUAAAAUAAUAUUAUUAGUAAUAAAAUUUAUCUCAUCUGGAUACCGAAUAGUAUGGUGAUUAUGAUAGGUAAAUUUACCGUUACUAGUCUAGAAUAGAAUUAUUUACAUAGCAAAAUGAUACUAUUAGUAAUAAAAUAGUUUGGACAGAGACCAAACAUGCCGGCGACAAUCACAUCCCAUUUUUCUUAUAUGUUAUGUUUCAGCAAUCAUGAAAAAUAUUUUAUUAACUCAUGUAUUGAUAUUGAUUCUAUAAUCAUAAGAAGUCUAUUUUCAUAAUAAAGAAAUAUUGUUAGUUUAUUGCAUAUACACAAUUCCUUGAUAAAUAAUUUCAAACUUCUUGAUUAUUGGGAGGUUAGUGUAGACCAAAAAUAACUAUACCUAUAUGGUCUUUAAUAUUCCUAUUAAGGUUAGCACUGCUACCUAUCUUAGAUUUCACAUCAAGCUCUUCCGCUUAUGUUAAGUGAGAUGGUAAAAGUUUUCAAUAUUAAUUAUAUGCCAUUGUAGUACUUAAGAGUACGGUCGAUGGCCUAAAUUCUUACUUUCAAUAUUUUUUCAACAAAAAGAAAGUUAAUAAAAGAUACAUUAAGCACCAAAAUUUAAGUUUAAACUUGAAGAUAAAAAACAUAUAGCAACUAAUAAGGUGAAAAUUUGAAAAAAAAAAUCGAGGUUCACAUAGUCACAAGAUAUUGGUCGGAACAAGGCCCACCAAAACCUAUUCGUUGGUCUGAAAAGCCAUGACUGAAAAUAUUGUUCGCUGAUUUAUCGUGAGAGAAAAACACUGUUGGCUGGCAGAAAAAGUACGGCUUAUAAGACAAGCGAACGGUGGGCCAUGGCGGUGCUCCGCAAAGGGAAAAAAUUAGAUCUAGUUGAAAAAAAAACAUAUAGAUAAAUUUAUCAUAUGUACUCCCUCUGUUCCAUUAAAAGUGAUGUUUUGGACUCUAUGUCAUCUUGUUUGACCGCUCGUCUUAUUCAAAAUUUUUAUAUAAAUAUUAUCUAUUUUAUUAUGACUUAUUUUAUCAUAGAUACUUUAACAAUGGUUUAUUUAUUUUAUAAUUUGCAAAAACAAUUGAAUAAAAUGAGUGGUCGUACCUAAAAGUUAAAAACGUUACUUUUGACGUCCGAGUAACUAUAAAACAUUUAUUAUGCCAAAUAAAGAUAAAACAUUAAAAUUAAUAUAAGAAAUUUUUAUAUUAAUUUUAUUGGACAGCAUGUUUACAUGUUUACAACCUGGUCCCUCUAGAUGAUGACACCCAGGCCUUGGACAACAUGUUUAUGUCUUACAAAGCUUAAAAAUAGCAGUCCCUGCUGCCUAAAUGGCCGACUAGGACAGCAAUUUUCAUGGCAGUGGCAGCCUUGCUUUGGGUUAAAGAAACAGUGAUGCCGACGUAGCCUGUUUUCUUUCACCUCACUUUCAUGGGGAUUGUGAAGCGCACAACCAUCGAUUUCAGUUAACUAACCGCAGUUUGGAAUCCAUAAUUGGUGUCCGUGGGGCAAAUCCAAAGCAGAGGCGUGUCAAUCCCAAACGCCUGCCUCUACUGUUCUCUGGGCCCUGAAUUUCUGACUCUGCAUUUGUUGUAUAAGCUUCAGAAGCUGCUGCAUCAUGAUUCAUGCAUGUGCAUUCUUGUUGUACGAGCAAGUAUUAUAAUACAGCCAGCUGCUGGCUGUAAGACUUUUUUACAGCCUUCUUGCAGCCCACUCGUAUAAUAGUUAGUUCAUCAGUAUUAAUACAUAGCCUACUUGUCUGUCUCACAGACUUUUUUGGUUUUUGUGUCUGAGCCGGCUGUAAGCUUACAGCCCGCUUUUACUCUCUCUCCUCCACCUCAGCAUUUAGCUGGCUUACAGCCUACUAUAAUACUUGCUCUACUUGGAGCAAGCUUAUCUCCUGCUCUUCAGUUCUUGAUGCAGCCGCUCUUCAGGACAUCAGGUGUGGUCAGAACUAGUCCAUGCAUCUUCAGUGCUUCGUCUUUAUCGUGUGGAACAAAUAGGAGGAGCAGUAGCAGGUUUCAAAAAAAAAAGGGGGAGGAACAAUGAAAAAAUAAGUUAAUAGCUCUGUUCAUCGGCUCUUUUGAGAACGUCCGAGCAACUUUACAUUGGAGUUAGCUGAGUUAUCCUUUCCCAAGAGCAAGUUUAGAGUCUUGGACACACCCAUGCUACUCCUGAAAUAUUCCUACUCAGUUUAGUUAACCUCCUGAGAUCUUGAAUGAUUGAACACAGCACCGUUUCAGGUGCAAGAUUCACAAGGAAACAGAACAGCUCGUGUCUUCGCUCAUAUUCUCUGUAAGUACAUACAAAGUUCUCAGAUGAAGAAGUUGAAGAGAUUGGAAGUCUCCAGUUUAACCGUGUCAUACAUUACAAAAUUGCUCUGAUGAGCAUCACCAGAGCUGUUCCCUCAGAUCCUCACAUUCUCCUCUAUCAUAUGCAUCAAAGCAUUCAAGCUCAGCUCAGCUCAGCUCUCCAAUUAUUCAGCGCCAUCAAGCCUGAGCAGUGCUUUCAAUACAUCUCCUUACUCAUACGGAUUCUAAUAUCUACUAACAUAUAUAUAUAGACUCGCUUGAUUAAUAAGGAACUGUAAGUAAACUAGCUACUAACGAUUAACCCAUUUUCAUGUUGCAACUCCUCGGAUCCCUUCACAUGACGGUGCAAGAAUUGGCGUUCUCGUCGUUGAACAUCUCGCCGUAGGCGUCCCGCGGCGGCGAGAAGGCGCUCCUCUGCGGCGGCGCGCUGUAGUAGUAAUCCUCCGACGAAGAAGACGGCUGGUACUGGUACUGGUAGCUGUACGGCGCCGGCUGCGGACGGCUGUAGUAGUACGGCUCGGGCUCGUACGCCGGCGACCGGUUGUAGUUGCUGUUGUAGUAGGACGGCGUGUAGUGCUCGUCGAUGUAACCCUGCGACGGCCCCGGCCUCGCCAUCGGCAUCGGCAUCGGCAUCGGCGCCGGCGCCGGCGCUGGUGACGGGGCGGGAGCGUAGUAGGACGCGCUCACGCUCGGCCGCACCUGGUUGUAGCUCAUCACUGCCGGCGGCGGCAUGCGGUGCACGUGGCCCCCGCCGACGCCUCGGUCGUACUCUAGAGUCACUCUGGCGUCCACCGGCUGCCUAUCCUGCAUCUCCGGCUGCUGCAUCGGUUUCGCUUUCCCCUUCGCCUCGCUGGGUCCCUGCUGCGCCGGCGCCGGUGCCGGUGCCGCUGCCGCCGCGGUGUCAUCGCCGGUCUCAUCGGCGCUGGCAUUUUCUUUGCUGUCCUGAGCCGGAUUCGGGGCCUCGCCGGUGCUCUGCUUGGGCUCCCGAGGGUUGCUCGGUUCUGCCGCGGCGGCCUCGGCCGUGUCGGCGCCGCCCUUCUCGGCAGGUUCGUUGGGUUUGCUCGGCUCGUCAGGCUGGUUGUUCUUGGGCUCCUGCGUUUGGCUCUCAGCUGCUGGUGGUGGUGGUGGUGGCGGCGGCUGCUCCGGCAACAGCUCCGCCUGCUUGCCGGACUUGCGCAGCUUGGAGACCAGCAUGUAGGGGUCGAGCUUCGUCGAGAUCGUCGCCACGACCUUGUUGCUCCGGGCAUCGAUUUCGCAUCGGUACACGCCUUCAACAAGAUCAAAAGAACACAAAUUCAGUACGGUCAGCAUGGGCACAUAAGGUCCAUCUUCACCGAUCAAAAUAAAAUUGUGCUAGACUUUCAUUGAUUGUUUUUUAGUUUGGUAUAUAGUACAAAGAAAAAGAGGCAAUUGCUUGCAAACAAAGGCACCUAACAUGCAUGUACUAGACUACCUACUAAUGCUCAGUGUUCAGUGUUGCAAUCGAAGACGCAAAAUUUUGCAGCAUCAGGACUUUGUGUAAGCAAGGCCUUUGACAAUGCGAAGCUACGUGCUGGUAAAUUGAAAGACCUGUUCGAUACCGUUAUGCAAUUCGAGGGGCGAAAUUAAACAAGAGCCUACCAUUGAUGUUCUGGAGCACUUUCUUCACCUUCUUCUUGCAUCCUUGGCAGUGAAUGGACACCCUCAGCACCACAACCUGAAACAGGACACACAGUCACAAACGGAUUCAGAACAAGAAUCGAAAUCAGUGACUGAAACAGGAACAGGAAUCAGACUGAAGAACAGAAAUUGCUCUGGAAACAUCUACUGGAACUGGAAUCCGAUCAGGCUCAGGGAGACAGAUUAAAGAGAGAAGGGAGAGAAUAUUGGUACCUGGCACUCUAUAGGCUCUGAGGCCAUGAGAGCGAGGUGAGGAAGGUGCUUUGCAGGAGGCAGGAGAGGAGGGGAAAGUGUGCCCGUUGAGUCGUGAACUGUGGGGGAAGUGCGGAGGGCGAUCUUUAUACCCCGCCGCACUAGUUUAGUUAGCAACAAGUGAAAGGAAUCGAAGCAACCGCCAUACAGACAAGGAAUAGUACGUGCUGAAUUGAAUAUCUUUGGAGAGCUGAUCAUCAGCUAGGCUUUACAUAUGGGCGCAGCGCAGAGCGCACCACGCCCUUGGAGGGAGGCUUUGGAAGGAGGUAAAGAUGGAUGUGAGGGAGGCUGUGACAGUGAAAGCAAGCGUAUGGAGGUGGCGAUCCAUGGAUGGUUCAGUGCUAGUCCUAGUCGUCGUCUUCCUUCCUUCUUUUCAGAGCUCAUCAUGAGCUGUACUACAAUAAUACUGUGCAUGCAGCAGCUGAGAUUUUCAUUUUAGGUGAUGAUGGCAACUAAAGCGGCUUUUUGCAGGGAGAGACUGAGGGAGGGAGGGAGAAUUACACUUGAACAUCGAUCCCUUUUGCUAAUUGUUGCUGUCUUGCUGAGCUGAGCUACCUUUAGUACUAGUAGAGAGAUUUUCCUGCUGUGCUGUUCUUCCUUCUCUUUUGUUUUUCAUAAGACUAAGCAGAGGAGGUCAUUGGGUAACAUUUUAGAUAUGUGCAGCCUGUGGAGUUGUGGACAGACCAACAGUCAGAUUCAUCUGAUUCUCGUGUGAUUUGGAUGCUUAUGUGUAGAACAAGAUUAGUAGAUAUGUGUGCCCAUUUAGAUAUAUAUACUCACAAAGAUUUCCCCGGAGGAACAAAUGAAAAGGGUAAUGUUCAGAGUUUCAGACAAAGACAAGUUCACAUGCAAUAUUUUCGUGGUAUGCAGCGGUCUAAUUAGUUUGCCAUCAUAUAAACCGCUAACCAUAUUCUAUGUUAUCCCUCAGCCUGUUGACGCAUGCUAUUGCCUUCAAAGAUUACAAUCAAAAAAGAAAGUAAAAAUGUUCAAAACAAAAGAGAAAGUAAAACAAAAAUAUGCGUCCCUGUCCCUUAUACGCUUUUAACACCUUUUUCUCAUAUUGCUGUUCGUAGUCAAAGUUUCAAUUGUGAAUGAAACAAGGAAAAGCGAAGUCAACAACAACUCACUGAAGGAGACGGCACUACAUUACAACAAUGACGACGUCAAAAUUUGGUUUAUGCUGAUGUUGAAAAGCAUUGUUCGCUGUUUUUUUCGUGAGAACCGAAACGAAAAUGUUUCAGAAAACAGUCGAUAGCCUAGCCCCUGCCAUGGCUAGCUGCUUGUUGGUGUCUUGGGUGAGUGAGAUUCCUUGCCCUCCCAUGGAGUGUUACGGCGUCGCAGGCAACCGGCCAAUGCAUGCAUGCAACCGCGGGUUAGUGGUGGCCAGCCGCCAACAACUCCAUCGUCACGCCAGUCGCCGCCGCCGCCGCCGCCGCCGCCAAACACGAGAAGAAAGAUUGGCGGAUGCAAAUGCAAUAUUUGUUAUUGGUUCGUUGAGUUUAUUUGCACGGCCGGGCGUGCAGAGGAAGAGUUUGUGUUGCCUCGUCACAAAGCGCUCGUGUUGUGUUGUGUCACGCUAGCUUUUUUUCAGUUUUGCAUGGUCGGAGAAGAAAGCAUCGAUUCCACGUUCCAGGAGAAGAAGCCUUUUUUGACAACGCCUGUUAGUUGUCCAUGGCUAGCUCCAAGGCUGGGGCUGUGGCUCUUAGUUAUAUUUUAUAUGUAGAUACGUCUAGCUUUGUUUGAGCCAUGAGCCAUCAUUAAGCGCAAAUUGCAGGUGGUUUGGCCGGCCACAUUAUAUUUGCAAAAGCUGAAUUCUGGAGUGAUCUGGAAUUGGUAUUCCAGUGUUUUUUGCAGGAACGUGGAAGGAGACCUAGAAUACGUACGGCUGUCCGUGAGUGGUUAUGGUCUUAUGGAUGCUUAUUAUAUAUUUGGUCGAGGGGGAAAAAAACUGUUAGGCGAUCACGCACUAGUUAGUUCUGGGUUAUAUUCUGUAUAUGUAUAUGUGGCUAGUGUUGUGGUCUUUUGGAGAUGAAAUCAGUACGUAAUAACGAUUUUUGUACUGAGUGAGGCAGUAGACUUUUGUCUUCCGGCGGCAUGAUAUCAUCGUCACGCUCCGACCGGGCAGAACAAGACGAUAUAUGUCAACGAGAGACGAGAUAAGUAUAUCUAGUUAAAACACGCCGCAUUAUUGCAACGUCAGGAGAUGGUGAUUGGUGAUGCCCAGACCCGUGCAACGAACGAUCCUUUCCUGUUCAUGAAAAGCAUAUAGCUAGACUAGAGGCUCUCUAUCUGAGAUGGAAAGGAAAAGGAGGCUGUCUUGACCCUCACUCACACUGUCCAACGCCGUCGAAAGGCUCUCUCUCUCUCUCUAUCUGAGAUGGAAAGGAAAAGGAGGUUCUUGACCCUCACUCACACUGUCCAACGCCGUCGAAAUUGUAGAAGCAGUUGCCAGUUGGCUAGUUGGAUCAGUCACUUUAACUAUUUCUGCUGCUCCAUGGAAGAAACACGCUCAAACAGCAAAGUGCGUGCCAUGCCAUGUGAGGGCAAAGCAGUUUCCCCAAACAAAAUCAGCGAUCCUCCACCCAGCAGCAUGAACAUGAACAUGCAUGCAUGCUGAUACAAGCAUAUCUCUUCUCUCUGCUGAAUGGUACACGGUCCCUGUUACUGUCACGACUCACGAACAGGGUGACGAUACUUCCAAGAAAGACGCCGGCCGGAUGCCCAGAUCGAUCAAUCAUCCCGCCAUUCCGUGACCGUCGCUGUCGCCGUCGCCGAGUCGAUCUCUCUUCGCUCUCGCGGUGUCGCCUUCCUCCAUCACCAGCACGAGAGCAAAAGCUCCCGAGCAUUAGCUGUUAAAGACGGACGGACGGAGACUGGGAGAGGUACAGUACAGCGACGGCUGCACGCGGCUGCGAAAGCCAAACCAAAGGCCCCCUGAUGGAGCAGUGUGUGUGGGGACGCGCGAUGGUGGAAUGCAAAAGCGACCGUGCCGGGGGCGGGGAGUCGAUCGAGCAAGAGCAAGUCAGCAAGAUCGAUCGAUGGAGCGAAGCCGGCGGGGACGAGUCGACGGAUGGGAAUGGGACGGCCGGCCCUGGCGCCCUCAGUCGGUUCGUCGUCAGCGACGGAUCGGACAGCCGCGCGUUGGCCUUUCUUGCUGGUUACCGCGGUUCUGCGUCGUCGUCGUCGUCUUUAGCUUUUGUCUCCAUCGGACGGCGGUGGAGGAUCGGAAUCGGAAUCGGAGGUAGCUAGUGAGGAAUAUGCAUGCGGCGGCCGUUUGGAUCGCCAUGACGUGGUGCCGCCGCGCCACGCGUUGUGCCGGAACGAACACGGACGGAUCGAAAGGCGGGUGGGCGGGCAACGGCUGGAGAUGGAUCGAAAGGCGGCAGCUAGCGAGCAGUGGAGCCUGCUGCGAGGUGUGAUAAGGACAGACGACCGACAGGGAUGGAUGGAAAGGAGGAAGCCGGCCGGCAGCGGGCAGUGGGGAUCUCGGUCAUCGGAGCACAAUGCAAAAAGAUUCAGACGCACGCACACGUAGCAACAACCACGACAUGCAGAUCGACGAGAAGCGCCCGCAGCGAGCGCCGGUUUUGGCAGCAGCAGCAGCAAAGAAGAAGAAGAAGAAGACACGGACGUUACGCUAGCUGCCGGCUGCCGCUCUCAAGAAAAUAAAAGGCAGGACUGGUUACCCCAAAACCGCGUUCCUUUCUUCUUCCACUAUACUUGUUUAGUUCUUAAAAAAAUUUAUAAAAUUUUUCAGAUUUCCCGUCACAUCGGAUCUUUAGAUGCAUGUAUGGAGUAUUAAAUAUAGAUAAAAAUAAAAACUAAUUGCACAGUUUGAUCGGAAUUGAUGAGACGAUUCUUUUGAGCCUAGUUAGUCCAUAAUUAGAUAAUAUUUAUCAAAUAUAAACGAAACUGUUGCAGUGUCGAUUUUCUAAAAUUUUUUUUUAGAACUAAACAAGAUUCAGAAUCAGAAAGCGCGAAAAAUAAAGGGGAACGCCGAGCUGAUAGCCCUUCGGCGCGAGUUGUUCGGCCCAUGCACAGACCAGUCCGGUCCGUUGAUUGGCCCAGCAGGCCUACAAUCGUUUAGGCCCAAGUGUAUCUGACGGAGCGUGGGGGCGCCAGGUAAACUAUGUUGUACAGUUUCUCUCAAAAAAAAGAAAAAAGAAAGAUAAGUCACUUAAUUUGUUAUUAGUGCCACAUUGUCUGCAAAAUCGUGUGCGCCGUAGCUAAUAAACAAAGAUAGUGAUGAUACGAUCACCGCGUGGCAUGCGCGGAGAGCACGAACAAAAUUCAGACAAGGAAAAACAAAAUACCGCCUAAAAUAGGCUGGUGUACGAUAUUGCAUAAUUGCGAUUCAGCCCAGAAUCCAUAUGAAAUACAGCCUAUAUUAGGCCGGCGUACGAUAUGUGCGCCCAGCUUUUUUGUUUCUCUUUUACCGGGAUUUCAAACCAUAGUAGUCUUUUCGUUUUACUAGGAUUUUUCAAGCAAAAUGAUUUUUCAUUUAACUAUAUACAUUAUUAUAAAAAUGCUAAUAUAUGCUCCGAAGAUUGGAGGGACACAGCAUAGUGAUUUUCUAUUUAAUAACUCGUAUAUACACUAGAAUAGGCUCAAACAUGUAUCUGCUCAUAGUGAUUUUUCAAUUAACUCAUAUACUAAAAUAGGCUAGUCUAUAUACUUCCUCUGUCUCUAUUUAAUUAUCGUCGUCGAUGUGCGUACCAGGACUCGAUUUGUAAAAAAUAUGUGCAAUAUUUAUAUCUUUAAAUAAAUUUAUUAAAAACUAAAUUUAAAUAUCUUUCUAAUGAUAUUAAUUAUGUACCGUAAAUAUUAAUAUUUUUAAUAUAUAUUUAAUUAAAGUUGUUUAUCGAGAAGUGUAAAUGACAGAUAUUUAUCUGGGGCGGAGGGAAAACUCUAAGAGUGGAGAGAUACAAGAGCAAAGAAAGACUAAUUGACCAAAUUUUGGGAAGAAAAUUUGACUCUUCAAUAUUAGAGCAACUUCAAGAUAUUAGCCAAAAAUAGACUUCAUUAUCCAUGAUUUAGCCAUCUUCUAAAAUAAAAUCUCUUAAAAGAAACAUGGAUUCUCCAAUAGCCUUAGUAAAAUUCCUAUUUUCAUACUUAAAACUUGCAAUGUCAUCUACUAUUCAUUUUGGUUCCACCAAUCAAAUCAAACUAGAUGUUCACUAGAGCCUUAUGUAAUCAGGCGAGAGAGCUGAUAGCGAGCGCCCCUGGCUUGCUUUUUCUGCUAGCAGAAAAGUUAGGAUAGUCUAUUUGGUAUUUUGAACACUCAGAUAACAUAUCUGUUGGAGACUAUUUGGUAUUUUGGAAACCCAGAUAGCAUAUCUUGCUUUAUAUCAUAGAUUGUCUAAAAUGGGCUCGAAAUCAAAAAAUAGUAUCUCUCUUGGAGUUGCUCUUGGAAAUAGAUAUAUAUAGUCGGCUCUUAGAAAUAGAUAUAUAUAGUCUAUAUCGAUGGGCCAAACUAUGAUAAAGUUCAUAUCAUUUUGAUGACAAAAGUAAUGAUGUAACCGUAUCAUACUUGAUUUUAUUUUAGAUCCUAUUUGAUACAACUGUGGGGAGAAGCUGAGUAAGUGGAGGAAAAACAUAGCUCAAGUAAGCGUGUCUAACCCAAUUGGUAUGUUUUUAGUAUAAACGGGAGCUAUGAAGAGAAGUGUGGACAGAAAACGAUGCAAAAUUUGACUUCUAGUUCAGCUUAUCAUAUUAUUAUGGACACAAACUGCUUAAAGGAUGUACAAAAUAGGCACUAGUGUUACUUGAUUCUAUCUAUAACCAUGCUAGGAUACAAAGUAUUGAUGUUAAAGUGUGGAUGGCAUGGCUCGCAUGUGUAUCACUCCACAAACACUAGCAUUACAAAAACAACUUUUUAAACAAACAAAUAGAUAAUACAUAACGAGAGUGUCUACUAGCGAGAGUAGUUGUCAUCUCUUGUGACCAACUUCUCACGAAUUCAAGAAAAAGUCAACCAUGUAUGUUGGCAAGUUUCUCACACAUGUGCGCCAAGAAAUCGAUGGACGAAUUAUAUGUAAGCUGUAAAAGGUUGAUAUAAGACAUCAGAUUUGAGUCAAAAUCAUCGGAAUCAACACAUUCUUUUUUUUCACGGAUACACAAAAAAAAAUUGCAUAUCAUUGUAUUAAGGAGAAUCAAUACGCUUCUAAUUAACGAGCGUUGAAAGAGGUCAACCUAACAUAGCCAAAGCUAAACCCUUCUAGCAAAGCCCUUCAUCAACAUCAAUAAUGAUGCAGAACUUUCCAUGUGGAAAAGACCAACUUGGCAAGUUUAGGGUACGGUGAGAGGAUGUGCUGAGAUGAGAAGGCGAGGAAGAAGUGGCAUGAUAUCCGACUUGCUUUGAUGAUUUUUUAUGGGCGCGCAAAGCCUGCUACUUCCAACGAUUGGACUUCGGCGCGCAUUAUUAGUUGUUUAGCCCAUGCAUGAAUCUGAAUCCAGACCAGUUCGGUCCGUUGAUUGGCCCAGAAGGCCUAUAAUUGGUUUGGCCCAAGUACGAAAACUGUACGCUCUGCAGCUAAUAAACAAUGACCAUGAUAAUAAGAUCGCCGCGUGGGAAGUUUGACGUAAGACGACUCUAGAAAUUGAUUUUUCUGUGGACGGAGUAUGCAAAAUCUUACCUCUAUAAGCAUUUUUGAAGCUAGACCAGCAAAUCCUCGAGAUUAAUAAAGUCAGCGCAAACGUCUCGCUGAUAUCGUGCCAUAUAUUAGAGUUAUUGUUGUUGGUACUGUCUUCUGUAAAUUUGAUUCACCUUAAAGUAGUUUGAUUAAGGACAACUUAAAGCAGAGUUUUCUGUGCUUAUAUAAUGGUUUUCUCUCAGGCUCUGACUACUGCUGCUGUAUGUAGUACAGCUACACCAUACCUAAGUUUGGUAAAAAGCCCUCUUUCUAAUAAAAUCGAUCUCUAAACUACCGGACGGUCGAGUAGAUCGAGGUAGCAGCCGGGGGUAGGAGUAGGACGCGCAGAAAUUAUUGUGUGCAAGAACGAUGCCAGCUAGAGCGGUUGUGUUGUGGGCGGGCCAUGAGCGAGCGAGUGCAACCAGAGGUGGGAGACGUACGAUCGAACGUACCCAGCGACAGCAAGCAGUCAGCAACAUAUAUUCUCUCUCUCGAUCACGUCCCCACGGGCACGGGCCUAUAGCUGUAUCCUGUCCCUGGCUCCGUCCCUGAUCUCCCCCUGUGCACAUCCAUCAUCACUGAGUGAGUGGUCGCUAUUGAUCAGUAAACAGUACAGAGACGGAGUAUCUCAGCUACAGUGACCAGUUCGGUGGACGCCGGCCAGAGAGGCGGCUCUGCCACUGAUCGAUCGACGCCAUGGCUGGUCGCGCGCAGCCAGAAGAGGUUUGAUUGGUUGCUAGCAAGAGUACUGUACUUGCUCUGAACUUGAUUAUUUCAAGUGUUAGCUGGCUUCUAAUUAACAAUUAGUUUCGGAUCAUCUAAUUAAUUUUUAAAAUCUGUUGCAUGCUGUCAUUCCAAUCAUCGAUCCUAAAACUCCCUAAUAAAAACUAAACGAGAUGAUUAUCAUAGCUCAUGCAUGAGACUGAUGAGAAUACAAGCAGAUCAACCCGGCAACAUGUGUAAUGUAAAGAAAACAUGCAUUCUUACGGCCAACAAGCUAGCAAACUCUGGCAAGCAGAUCGAGCAAUGGCUACGAACUAACUCCCUAUGCACAGCACGCGACGCCACGUACAUUACACAAACCGAUCGAUGGGGAGGGGGAUAGAGAUGAGCAAGUAGAUAGACGCAACAAAUUAAUUAGGGUACAAACAAAGGCUAGCCAGCUAGCUAUAUAGGUAGCAGACGAUCGAGAUGAACUGCAGUGAUGCAGCAGCCAGGCAGGAAUUAACAACGAAGACGAUAGAUGGAGGAGAGGUAGGUAGCAGCAGGCAGUACGAUCGAGUAUCUAGGCGUCGAUGACGCGGAAGGCGUCGCGGUUCUUGAUGACGAUGUCGUACAUGUGGACGGAGCCGAAGUGGGCGAAGUCCUUGGGCAGCGAGAUGAGGUCCACGGAGGUGCGCUUGUGGUACUGCAGCAGGCCGCCGCCGCCGUUGUCGGCGUAGUAGCGCUCCCAGCCGAGCGCCGCCAGCUUGCGCUCCAGCGACGCGUAGGACGUGACCACCUCCCCGGAGGGCGUGUGCAGCAGCGCCUUGCGCUUGCCCGACGCCGCCGCCGCGUUCCCCGACGUCGGGUUCUCCACCAGCCUCACCACGCCGUUCCGGAACACCCACACGCCCGACAUACUUGCUGGGUGCGUGGCCUCUCCCCUCCUCUGCUUUUCCUCCCUCUUCGAUCGAUCCCUGCGGAUGAUGGAGGAGUCUUGUAUAGUAGCUAGCUAGCUAGGUUGUCCGGUGCGGAUGUGCGGGAGAGGGUGGUGGGCGAGGCGGCUAUAAAUAGGCGUCCGGCGAGCCGGCGGGCCGGGGCGCGCGCUGGCCGGCGCAGCCGUGUGUGACGACACCGGCCGACCGAUGGAAUGCGCGCGCGCGCGCGUCGGCAUCUCUCUGUUGCUGUGGACGGAGAGGGAUUAUUGCUGGGGAGGGGAGGGGACGGGCCGGGACGAGAUGUGUUGUGAUUGUGAGCGCCACCCGUACUUGCACACGCUACAUGCAGAGUCGUCGUCCAGCCGUACGUGCCGGGGCCCUGCGAACGAUCGAGAUAAUGGACGGCCUGCGAGGCUUGGGAGCUACUAGCUCUCGGUGUUGCCAUCAUCCGAAUGCAAUACGAGAGCACAGAAUAAUAAUCCAUGUCGAUCCACUACUUACAUAAAACUUUAUAGAGAUGGUUGUUUUCGAUUUUUGGAGGCGAACAUGCAAAAACGCCUCCAAUAUAAGGUCACAUUAAAUGAGGAUUAAUGGAGCCGGUUGUUUGUCCAUCUCCGUUAAUCGAUAAAAAUAAAAAUAAAAAGACCACAUGGGCCUGGAUCUGGGCCACACGGGCCUAGGGCAUCAUGCCGCAGCCGCCGAUCCAAUCGCCACGACGCCGCUACCAUCGAUUCGGGCCGUACGAGUCGCUACCAGUGGAGAGGAAGGAGACGGAGGCCGCCACACCUGGAGGAGCAGGGGGGCUCGCGCUGCCAUCGUUGAUCCGUCACUAAGGAGGUAGCCUAAUCCACCGCUGGGGUGGAGAGGGCCUGAUCCACCGCCACCGAGGAAUAGAAGGCCGGAUCCACCGCCGCCAUGGAGAAGUGGGCUAGAUCUGUCGCCACCGAGGAGAAGGCAGGAAUCCCGCCACCACUUAGGAGGAGAAGAGUGGAUCUGUCGCUGCCGUGGAUGUAGGGGUCGGAUCCAACCGCCACCUAGCAGGGGCGCCAUCGCCAUGUGAUGUCAGGGGAAGGAAGGGGAGUGCUGCUGGGGAAGGAGAGGGAAGGAGAGCGCUGCCAGGGGAGGAGAGGGAAGCACGUGGGGGAGAAGAGAGUGGAGGUGGGUUGGCGAGGGAGAGAGAUGAAGCUGGGGAGCGAGUGGGGAGAAGAGAGGGGAGCGCUGCUGGCGGGGGAGAGAGAGAGAGAGAGAGAGGAAGAAAUGAAGGCGUUGGUGGCCUUGUAAACCCUAAGUCUUGGUAUAUAUAUGACGAGCGUGAUAUCGAGCCGAGAUAUGUGGUGUCUGGGCUAGAUUUUAGGAGGUGGUCCUUAUAAAAUAACCGCAACACGGUUAAUCAUUUAUCGAAGCGGUUAUGUUAUAAUGUCCACCUCGGUUCAUAAGCAUUAACCGAAGUAGUUAUAUAACAUUUGCCGAAAUCUUGCGAGACAGUUAAAUUUAACUACCUUGGUUAAUAAAAACUAACUGCCUCGAUUAAUUUAAAACGUUAACUAAGGGGGUUUGAAUUAUGGCCUGCCUCUAAGGUCAAUUUUGAAACCCCUCGCAAAAGAUUUUUUUUUUAAGUAGUGAUAGAUGAAUGCAUACCUGCGGCUACUAUUGGCCAUGCAUGGCUAUGGAUGGGAAUAUCCCGUCCGACGCCGGCCGCCCCUACAUACUACGCACGACGAGAGUAGACAUGCAUCAUGAUGUAGCGGCCGUCCACCGACUACGUUACGUUACUGGCUCAGCUGGGGUCGUACGCUAGCUCCCUCGCGGUAGGCCGGAGAUACCAAGAUUGACGAAUGAGGUCUCUGCGGCACAAACAGCUAGCAUGGAGUCGAAGGAGGGAUGAUGGAUGCCAUAUGCACAGUGCAGAGAGCAGUGAUGUCCAUGGAAUCCAAUCCUCGAUCCACGAAUACCAUCACCCCCAUCCCCAGAACCUAGCUAGAGAAGAUAGGCUAAGCUAGCUAGCUAUAGCUGGCAGAAAAAUGCAUAUGGAAGCAUCGAUUCGCCGCCGGCCGGGGCAUUAUAUUGCUGGGUGCGUCAUGGGUGAUACCAAAUGGAUUGGCGAUGCGAGUUGUCUUGAGGAGGGAGGAGUUCGUUGUCUUGGUUCUCGUCUCGUCUCUGUCUACUACAAUUACAUGCAUGCAUAUGCAUGCAUCCAUCGUGUAUAUGCUUCUUGUUGUUACCUAGCUAGCUUUACGGUGAACGAUACAGCUGCUUGACAUACGCACUAGCUACUCCUCCUAUACACACGGACUAAUAAUCGAUAAGCUCUCUUCACCAGCCCUAAAUAAACGGGUUUGCAGUGAGAACAAAUAUCGCGGAUAUUCCCCAAACUGAAGUUGAGUAAGAAUAUGGGUGAUCCCCCCCUGCUGCUAGUAGUUGUGUGGCCUGCAUUCGUCUCCGCGCGCGUACGUGCGCUACAGAAUAUGCGGCAGGCUUUUUCCCGCCUGCCACUGGCCUCGCCUCAUCACGGGCCGCGCAGCCUGCUGCCCGCCCAGCGUUAACGCCUUUCUUCCCACUUGACCAGCUAACGAGUAGUACGAGAUCGAGAGCGUCGGCCAGCAGGGCACGCGUGCAAGCACAGUGCAAGUAUAGGCAACAAACACAGUUGUCACACAGUCCUAGGAAAAGAAAAGUUUCUAAGUAAGUUUAAAAAAUUUAUCUUGAAAAAUACAUGUAAAUUGAAUAAUUAAUUAUUUUUCUAUAUAUUUAGUGUUCCAAGCAUGUAUCUAAACAUUUGAUGAUUCAAAGGAAAAAAGUUUUUGGGUGAGAACUAAACAAGCAUCUUCUUUUUUUACGAGACACAGUUAGAGAUGCAGACGCUCACAUACACGAGCGCAUAUUCAUUCAGGAGGGCUGUUAAAUCCUAGAUUAAAUUUACAAAAAUACGAGCACCCGUAACAAGUUAGGGGUUUAAACCCAGGUGGGUAGGUUCCACCACAAAAAAUACAACCAGUUAAUCUAUGAUCGGUUCGCUAGCGUCUUUGGAAGCUUGUACCUAUGGAAGAGCAAAAAUUUUCUCUAGUGUAUAUAUCUAAUAUCCAUAACCAUAUUCUAUAUCUAAUAAUAAAAAGCAAAAAAGUUAUUUCUUUUACUCUCUCCGUCCCCCACCCGUCUAUCCUCACUCAAAUCAUUUUUGUCCCUCACUAUCCCUCACUCUAGAUUGCAUGUUUGGUACAUUCUCACCCGGCUCCUGCAGCUGUUUCUCGACGACACUAGCCAACACAGGCGAGAGAGACGGCGCCCCUCUGUGUGUGAAGGUUCGGAUUUCCCAGUACCGUUCGCUUAUCUUAUUAGUGGUAUUUUUUCUGGAAGCUAACAAUAUUUUUUUUAUAAUAAAUCAGCCAACAGUAAUUUCAGCUAUGACUUUUCAGAUCUGCAAACAUAGGGGCGCCACCGUCGAAUCGUGAUGGACCAGCAGCGGCGAUAGUUGUCAUCGAGGCCACUAGUACACGGGCGUAGGAGCCACACGGCCGCUGAGGCGGAGGAAGCUUUGGGCACAUUGGUUGUUCGGGGCAGCUCUGAUAAGCCAUGUCUAAAAGUACUAUUUAUUGAUUUAUUGUGAGAAAAAAUACUGCUGAAUAGCUGGCAAAUUCGACGAACGAACAAAUUGACGUCUCCAACAACUAGAAGUCGGUGAAAUAAUUACUAUUUAUGUUUUUUUAGUUACGUCGGCUUUUGCCUUCUAUAACUACACUACAAUAAGCCAAAUCCAGAUGAAGCACCACCUUGAGGUCCUAAGGUAUCUAGAUCACUCAACCUGACAACCUUAGCCAUACUUGACUGUGUCUUUUAAGGCCCUGUUUAGAUUGAGGAUGAAAAAUUUUUGGGUGUCUCAUCGGAUGUGUCGGAAGGAUGUCGGGAGAGGUUUUUAGAAACUAAUAAAAAAACAAAUUAUAUAACUCGUUUAGAAACUGCAAGACAAAUCUAUUAAGCAUAAUUAAUCUAUCAUUAGCACAUGUGGGGUUACUGUAGCACUUAAGGCUAAUCAUAGACUAACUAGGUUUAAAAGAUUCGUCUCGCGAUUUUCAACCAAACUGUGUAAUUAGUUUAUUUUUUUAUCUACAUUUAAUAUUUCAUGCAUGUGUCCAAAGAUUCGAUGGGAUGGAUGAAAAUUUUUUUGGUGGGGAACUAAACAGGACCUAAACUUCAUACCGCCUAAAAUGAAUCAUGCAGUUGAUAGCCAAAAUCAAUGAUAUACAUCAUGCUUGUCUUCUAAAACUACUAGAGAAAUUAAUUAAGCUAAGUUAACAACCAAAGUAACUAAUUGGUGAGGAGUAUUAAUGUCAGUCUUUUGCUAGACUUGUUAUUUGGUUCUAAAAGUCUUUCUGUACUGUCUUUUAGAACAGAAGGAUUGAACCAUGCAUAAAUAGUGUGUGCGCUAGCUGUUUCCAUAAAAGGAGGGUGGCAUUUCUCUUUCUUGACAGCAACUUGCUUGCAUGCAUGUGUGGCCCUAGCUAGGCUCCCUACCCAUGCAAAUCGCGAUCGCUCGAUCGGAUUGCGGCUGCACACCACCGCGCGCGUCGGCGACGUCAAAAUCCCCGAGAUCGAUCGGUCGAGACUCGAGAGGCCGGCCGACCGAUGGCCCCUGCGCGCACGGCCGUGGCCUCAUCAUCGACCCAUUGCAUGCACGGCGCGCGCGCGGCAAGGCAACAAGCGCAUGGCACAUGCAUGCCGCGCACCGCGCUACGCUCUACUGCCGUGGAGCGGUGGCAGUGUCAGUGUGCGCACCCGACCACCCCCAGGCAGCCCCGAUCGGCGUCAAGGGCGGAGCUAGCUGGAGUGAGUGUGUGUGUGUGUGUGUGUGUGUGUGUGUGUGUGUGUGUGUGUGUGUGUGUGUGUGUGUGUGUGUGUGUGUGUGUGUGUGUGUGUGUGUGUGUGUGUGUGUGUGUGUGUGUGUCAGCGGGCAGCCCGGUGGAUUGCGAUCGAUCGACGACGCGCAUGCAUGCAUGUGCAGAGUAUUGCAUUGAUGGCACGCUGUGUCGGAUGAUCGAUGCAUGAUACCGCUCCGGCCGGCCGGUACGUGGCGGCGGAUCGGAUGGUAUCGUAGUAUCACGAUGCAUCCCGUACGUCGUCCCCGGGCCGGGUGACCGCAUGCACCCUCGCUCGCUGACCACGUGACAGCUACCUACCCUACCCGGCUGGACUGCUGCUGUGCGCUGUGGCCGUGGACGCGGCAGCAAGCGCAAGCUGCGGCCCGCCCCUCGACCAGUCGCCGUCGCCGAAUUUAAUCGCGGCGCAGUGCCCGGACCGGCCGCCGGAUCGACGUGGUCACCACUCCUCGCCAUCUAUACUACUAUAAGUAUAUAUAUAUAUAUAUAUAGGUGGUAUAGGUAGGCCUGGCCGGACCGGAGCAGAGCGCGUACUGGUCCUCGUCCUUGCGUCUCAUGCGCGCGUCGUCUACGGCCGCGACCGGUCGUCUCACUGGCUGGACGGAGGAGGAGGACAUUCAUGAUCAUAUCUCGCUGGAACUAGAAUUAUUACCACGUCACAACUCACACGUACUGUACGUGCUCAUGCUGAGGGCCUGUUUAGAUUGGGGAUAAAAAUUUUUUGGGUGUCACAUCGGACGUGUCGGAAGGAUGUCGGGAGGGGUUUUUAGAAACUAAUAAAAAAACAAAUUACAUAGCUCGUCAGGAAACUGCAAGACAAAUUUAUUAAGCAUAAUUAAUCUGUCAUUAGCAUAUGUGGGUUACUGUAGCACUUAAGGCUAAUCAUGGAGUAACUAGGCUUAAAAGAUUCGUCUCGUGAUUUUCAACUAAACUGUGUAAUUAGUUUAUUUUUUUAUCUACAUUUAAUGUUCCAUGCAUGUGUCCAAAGAUUCGAUGGGAUGGAUGAAAAAAUUUUUUUGGUGGGGAACUAAACAGGGCCUGAGAUGAGAGGUACUGUACUUACCAACUACGACAGGACACAGCCCGAUUUGGGAGUGCUACAGUCAAACUUGUCCUUGCGUGUGUAUUUACUCUUUAGGUGCAUAUAUAUAUAUAUAUAUACAUCACUCUAAAUCUUUAAAAUAUCAUUAUAAUAUCCCGGCCCGCACUUGCUAAGAUGUUGUCUAAGUCCUCAAACUUAUCAUAUAAUUAAUAUAGCCUAAGAGUCUGCUCGAUCACCUGGCAAAAAAGUCAUUGUUGAAAGUAUUGUUCGUUGAUUUAUUAUGAGAAAAAAAACAUUAAUAAACGGUUGGUACAUUCGGCGAUAAAUUCAAACGAACAAGUUGUAACUUCAAACGAGCACCGACCGGACCACUCCAUGCCCUGAUGCCAUAUGCCUUUGUGGUUCUUGACUAGAGGGUCACACAUGAGGGCGGCACCUACAUGCGUCUAAGGGUCUAUUCGCUUGGUAAAAAAGUCACGGCUGAAAGUACUGUUUUUUGAUUUAUUGUAAGACAAAAAUGCUACUAAAUGGCUGAUAGAUUCGGCGAAGAUAACCUCAAGCGAACAGGUGUCACUCCAAACAAGCACGACCCAACCACUCCAUGCCCUGAUGCCAUAUGCCUGGCUUUUGACUAUAGGGUCAUGCAUGUUCGUCGUCGGCUCUCCAUAUCUGUGGCAACCUAGAAACUUUUCAAGAUUCUCUGUCACAUCGAAUCUUGCGCCACAUGCAUAGAAUAUUAAAUAUAGAUUAAAGAAAUGACUAAUUACAUAGUUUGUCUAUAAUUUGCGAGACAAAUAUUUUGAGUCUAGUUAGUCUAUAGUUGGACAAUAAUUACCAAAUAAAAUAAAAGUGCUAUAGUACCUAAAAACUUGUUACCUCCUCAACUAAACGGUGUCUAUGUUCUUCAUCCCCCCCUACCCCACACACACACCCCACUACUUUACAAAUGAUAUUAUAUUAAUUUUAAAGAGUUGGGGACCUUUAUAAUGAUGCCCCGACAAGUUGUAGGACAUACCGAAAUCACAAAUUCGCAAUAGUAUGCCACGCACCUAGCCAGUGAUGAUUGAUGAAAACGACAUAUGCGUGAAUAAGCUUAUAUAUUAUAUAAAUGCACCCUGCUAUAAAGUGUGAUAAAUAAUAUGAAUGAAAGGGGGAAGAAGAAAAGGACUCUGCUCACAAAGGAUAAAUCCUUCAUUUUGAUUAUCUUUUUCUUGUUCCAUGCAUGCAUACAACAAAGACCGACAGGACAGCUCCGAUUUGUACAUGUUGUUGGUACAGCGAAAAGACCGGCAGGGCCAGCGCCAGUCCGAGAAGGCUCGGCCGUUGGCAACAUGCCAAAUUGCCAAUUGACGAAUUCACAAUCACAGCACAAUAGUACUCAUACGUACUUCAUCCAAAAUUACAAGAUAUUUUAUUUUUUUACCCUAAAUUCAACCACUUAUCUUAUUCAAAAAAAUAUACAUAGUUAAAUUUAAGUUAUUUUUAAAGAACUUUUAUCAAUAAAUUAAACCACGACAAAAGAAAUGAUAUUUUGUAUAAAUUUUUGAAUAACGAGUGGCCAGAUUUUGUAUUAGAAAAGUUAAACGUAUUAUAAUUUGAGAUAUAUUGAGUACCACACACACGCACUUACUGUAGCCUUCUAUUAGGCGCAGUGCAGUGAUGAUUGGUGACAAAGACCCAUAUGUCAUAUGUAAAAGAAUAUGCAUCUAUCUAUCUAUCUAUCUAUAUGCGCGCCUAUCAUCACACACAACCAACCCACUGAGGACAUAUGAAACAAAAGAAAAAGACCCUGCAUGCUCAAAAUUAAAAGAAUAAAUCUAGUAUAUCUUAAGUUUCUGGCCGAUCAAAAUAUAUUAUACUACCAUACAAUACAACCACUAGCAGUGUGGUGGAUCCGGAACCGAUGCGCGGAAAACAACAGGUUGGGCCGGGAUACGGCAGCCUUUUUCCGCAAUGGGAAAAGGGUGAAUAUAUAUGGGCGAAUUUCUAUGCGAAUAAUAAGGUGAUGGAUGGAUCGAUCCGCCGGCCGAGAUGAUGAGAUUACAUUAUUAUUAGUAUUUUCAAGACGAGCGAUGGAGCGAGAGAUAAAAAUCACCGAAUCCUUAUCGUUUAUUAUCAUCUCUCUCUCUAGCUCGCAGACCCGGAUUAGCCCGGCCGUCCGGCCAUAUGCAUGUGACGAGAUGCUCCAUAUACCUGGAUAUAGCAUAGCAUAGCACAGCACAUACUAGCAGGCUUCGGCUACAAUAGUGUCCGUGUGUCCCCUCAUGGAGCGAAGAUGCAUCGAUGCGAAUAAUGAACAUUCUGUGCUGCUAACAUAGUAACGUACACGUGAAUGAUGAAUGCAUACAUUCAUGUGUGCACACUGCACGCACCAAUUAUAUAUCUGUUUGUACCAGAACUAUAUAGUCUGUAGCUAGCUACAAAAUAUGUUAUUCUGUAGCCACCUCCAUUUAUGAUAAUUUUAUAUACUAGUUUACGAUAAUAUGUAUACAUAUUUACGAUAGUUGGGUUACUAUAACACAUGGGAAUAUUUACCGUAAUGUUAUAGUAAACCACUUAGUUACUAUAAUCUCGUUAAUUAAUAGAGUAAUUAUCGUAACUCAAAGUGGCUACAGAAUAAGUUAUUUUGUAGCCAACUAUAGAGUAAUAGUUUUAUAUAUAUAUAUAUAUAUAUAUAUAUAUAUAUAUAUAUAGAGAGAGAGAGAGAGAGAGAGAGAGAGAGAGAGAGGAAGCCUUAUUCCUAUUUUGGUAUUUUGGAUUUCAGGAGUUUUAGCCCCGGUUAGUGAAGGACCACAGAACCUUUCUAGUUAUGAAUCGGGUAUAGAACCCAUGGGGGGGCUUGGUUACAAUUCCGAAUACACUAUUCCAUGUUUGCGCUAGUUUUUGUUGUUUUGGAUGUGGAAAUAGUCUUUCUCUACCGUUGGGCACAUGAGUUUCGACGUAUUGUGUGUAUCCAUUUUUAUCGAAGCUUUCAUUUUUGUGCUUAUCCUAGUUGUUGGUUUAGUUUAUGCAUGGCGAAAAGGAGCCUUGGAAUGGUCUUAACUGAAUAUUCAGAAAAAAAGAAGGAAAAGAUUCCAUUGAGACAAUUAUGAGUUUGAUUGAGUUUCCAUUACUCGACCAAACAAGUUCUAAUUCUGUUAUUUCAACUACACCAAACGAUCUUUCGAAUUGGUCAAUACUCUCAAGUUUAUGGCCCCUUCUAUAUGGUACAAGUUGUUGUUUCAUUGAAUAAACAUGAUUUUCUAUUAGAAACUCAUUCAAUCUCACAGGCCUAGUUACUAAGCCCAAGGGCCUAUUUAUGAGUAUUUAAGACUGAAAUGUAUUUUGUAAGGACAUAUCUGUAUUUGCUAGCCUUACCAUAGAAGAAAAUGGAAAAAAUCCACCUCCUACCUCUCCUAUAAAAAAAAGGGAGAAUAAAAGGUGCAAGAGGGCUUGGUCCAUCAACUUGGCUCUCUUCCUCUUGUUCCACUCUAUCUCUCUGUGAGCUUGAACCCUCCGAACAUGUUGAUGAAGCCAAGAAGGGAUGUCGGGUGUGGAAUGCGUGCACGCGGCGUAGGAAGUCCCUUCCGGUGGUGAAAAGGCAGGAAGCGGGUCAAACCAUAGGCCGGCGAAGGUUGGGAGUAGGAUGAAGAUGGCAGCAAGGAGGUAGCCGGAGAGGGACAACAACUCAUGUUCACCACUCGUGGUCAUUAUCAAAUAUGGAAUUCUGGCUUUGGGUGCUGUCGACGAAAGCUAGUCGGCAGUCUACCUUGGGGUAUACCCACGGUAGUAGUUUAUCGGUAGACGGUGCGCAAACUACGAACUCGAUGGUGACGCAAGACACGGACAAGCUUUUUAUCCAGGUUCGGCCGCCGAGUUGGCGUAAUACCUACGUCCUGCGUCUGGUUGUAUUGAUUUGUGUUGAGAGAAUAUGAUAUGAUCUAGGGGGGUCCCUUGCCCCUCCUUAUAUAGUCUGGAGGGCAGGGUUACAGAUCUGGAAACUAAUCCUAGUCGGUUACAAUUGCCAUGGAUAAUUCGAUACCAAUUCCUAUUCUAACCGACUAGAAUCCUGCUUGAUCUCCCCAUCUUGUUUCCUUGCGCGAAACUCCAGGUUGUCGGAUCAAGCCUUGAACUCGUCUCGUAAUGGGCCAAGCUUCCUGGCCGAAGUCUAACCGUAAGGGUAUAGGGGUUUAUACCCCCACAGCUAGUCCCCGAGCACCAUGUAUUGUGAUGUAACACGCCGUCUUGAGCUUUUUCGAUCAGUGAGACUUGACGUCUUCAAUACGUGGGAAAGUCGCCCAAACAGUUGCAACGGUUCUUUGACCAACUCAAAAGACAGUUGAUCAACAUUGACAUCGAAGAAGCGAGUUGUUCGAAGAAUGCAUGGUGCUCUAAAUUAAAAAAGAUUUCUUUCCUGGUGAAGUGUGCCCACUUUACUUUUUUGAAAGGUAUAAACAUCAAAAAAGCAAGCAUAUUCACCGCAAGGUGAAGUGUGCCCACUUAGUCCCCGAGCCUGGUAGUAGGUGACGUAGGCACGUGGUGCCAGGGUCAAAAUAAAAGUCCUCAAAGAAAUUCUGUAACUGAGAUGCAUCGCCAGAUGCAUCGUACCGAUGUAGUCCCCGAGCUUGCUGGAAGGCGAAGUAUGAGCCUUGUAGCAAGGUCUAAAAAAUUGAAUUUACCAGUCCGUCUGCAAUUGAAUAGAUUAAUCGACCAGUCACCAAGCACCAAGUGUUUUUUAGAAUCCUGUGUCGCUGUACUGUACGACCAGUCCCCGAGCAUCGAGUGCUCGGUGGUCGGUGCAGUUUUUAAAGCGUCUAGCUGAUAGACUGGGCGACCAGUCCCCGGGCGUCGAGUGCUCGGUGGUCGGUGCAGUCCUUUAAAGCUUCCAGCUGAUAGACUGGACGACCAGUCCCCGAGCGUCGAGUGCUCGGUGGUCGGCGCAGUCCUUGAAGUUCCGAGCUGAUAGACUGGACGACCAGUCCCCGAGCGUCGAGUGCUCGGUGGUCGGCGCAGUCCUUGAAAUUCCGAGCUGAUAGACUGGGCGACCAGUCCCCGAGCGUCGAGUGCUCGGUGGUCGGCGCAGUCCUUGAAAUUCCGAGCUGAUAGACUGGGCGACCAGUCCCCGAGCGUCGAAUGCCCGAUGGUCGGUGCAGUCCCCGGAUUGUUGACUUUCUGGCGUAUGUGUCGUCUUGUUUUUUUUUUGAAAAGAUCUUCCCAGUUAAAAUUGACGUGACGAGGCCUCCUGACAGGGUGUCAGACGGAUGCAUGAAAAGUUGCGCCUGGCAACUUGUGCAACCGCCUUUGCAUGGUUUGAGAAAAGGAAACCAUCAAUUUGUACGAAAAAUCCGCCGCAUUAAUUGUCUAUAAUCAUUGUAAACCGAAACGCCGCGUCCGCCGCAUGGCCUGCCCACUUCCCGAGAAUACAGGAAGUGGGAGAGGUGGAGUUGCGGGCUUAUGAGAGCCUAAUAGGUCCGCCUGUACCGCUUACCCUGCCAUUGUCUUCAAACCUUCCGCUCUCAUCUUCUCCAAUCUCCUGCAUCUUCCUAACUCAAGCCCACAUUCGCACCUCUAAUGGCGAAGAGCGACUCCAGGAAGAGGGCCGAACUGAUGGCCAAGGAGUGGAAGAAGUCUCGCAGCACCACAAAAUCUCUUGGUGACCUCGUCGAUAUGGGGCUUCUGCACGGCCCGGAGCUCGGCGGCUGGAGGGCACCGGAGGGGGAGAGCUACCCCGACCCUCGUGCCGGUGAGAUCGUCGUAUUUGAAGAUUUCAUUAAGAGGGGUUUUGGUGUUCCUGUUCAUCCUUUUCUUCAAGGUCUUCUUUUGUAUUACGAGAUCGGGAUUUGCAAUCUGCACCUGAACUCAAUUCUCCUCAUUUCCACCUUUAUCCACCUGUGCGAGGCCUAUGUUGGCAUAGAGCCGCACUUCGAUCUUUUCCGGUAUCUUUUCUGCUUGAGGAAGAAGGGAGCAGUUGGAGGCUCCAAGGUUGCAGGUGGAGUAUACCUCAACCUUCGUGAUGGAAUGAAGAAUCGCUACCUGCACUGUCCAUGGAACACUUCCUUGACCGAAUGGUACAGGAAGUGGUUCUACAUCAGGGAGGAACCGGGCAGCUCCACGUUCUGCGACGUGGGAUACAUUCCUGAGAAGAGGACGAGCUGGACCGACCGCCCGGAGUUCGACGGUCCAGUGGCGGAUCUCAUGAAGCUGAUCGACUGGUCGCGCCUGGACGGGCUUGGCGUGGUCGGCAACUUCAUUUGCCGCCGGGUGAUGCCCUGCCAGAAGAGGGUGCACUCGGCGUACGAGUAUGCCGGAAGCGCAGACCCGACCAGGAUGCGGUCGGAGAUCUUGGAGAAAGCGGAGGUACAACAGCUGUUGAACGAGCUGUUUAACUUCGCGGACGGAGGCUUCAUCCGUGGUAGUGAUCGGGUGCAAGCCUUCAAGUUAGGACGACCAGCACCAAAGGUAUGUAGCAGAUUCUGUUUUAGCAUUCGUAUAUCGUCGGCAGUUGACUCAUCUCUGUUGCUUUUGCAGAUCGGCGGUGUCGACCGGUGCACAGUGUAUGUAUCACUGGCACCGGGGAUGGAAAAUCCUGCGGGAGAAGACCCGCCAGAGGAGGACGCUGCUCGGUGUACUCAUUACACCAGCAGUGAAGAGGACCAAGCCCGCCCCAUCCCGACCUCUGAGGAGAGGGUAGCGGGGAAGAGGCCAUUGCCGGCAGAUCCUUUGCCGGCGGAUCUUCCGGCGGAGAGCAGCCAAGCACCGAAGCGUCGUCGGCUCGUGCGGAUCGUUGACGACGACGACGACGAGGAGGAGGCUGCGCCGUCGUUGGUCUGACGGCCCCGGGGUCGCCCAGAUAAUGUGCCGGCCGCUACUGAUCGAGUGGCCAGCGACGCCCCUGCACCGCAAGUUGUCGAGACGGGGGCGCAGGUGCCGACCGGCCGGGCGAGGAGGAGGUUCACCGCCACCCACCGUCGAUCAGACCUGUAAGUGUUCGACUUACGUAUUUUGGACUCCUCUUUGAUUUUGUUUUUUUUUUGAAAUUUGACUUUUGUUCCUGUAGUGCGGCGUCGGAUGUCGACCCCGGCCAGGUUGCCAGCCAAGGGACGGGCGAGCCUGCCCGCGGUUCUGGGGAUGCGGCCCCCCAGACCACAGAGCAGCCAACAGCUGCAGUCGCGCCUGGGAGCACCGAGGGGCUCCCGAGCGCGGCACCGACUACGACAAGCAGCCCGACCAGGGCUGGAGAGGCUCCCCCAACUGACUCCUCAGAGAGGGGAAGAUCUCCGACCGCUCCUCCUGCCGGGGGGAGUGAAGUCCCCACGCCGCCCCGAGCAGGAGCCUCCUCUGCUGCGGGCUCCCCAGGUCUGGUCCAAGGGCCAGUAAUACCUGGGACCACCACCGGGGGUGACGCAGCACAGGAGGAGGAAACCCGGGCGGCCUCCGAUGAUGAGGUGGAAGAGAUCGAGGGUCGUCCCCGUGAUGGCCGCCAACACGUGUAUGUGUGGCGCCAACGCGGGGAUCACUUUAUCGGGCAUGAGGAGCUCGCCGAGACCGAAGAGGCCGCCAGGGUGGAGCGCGCGGCCAAGCGCCUCGUCGACGAAGUCAAGGUAAGCGGCUUUUUGCACUGCUGCACAUUCUUUUGCCUUGUCUUGCAUGGUCGUUAUAUGCUUGCUUUGUAGGACGCAAUGAAAACGGCGAAGUACCGGAAACGGUGCUUUGACCAGAUAGAAGGCGUCAUGGCCGAGAACAAGGCCCUUGCCGCGGAGGUAGACCGGUUGCGGGCGGAGGUCGGGGAGAAGGUGGUCGAGAUGAGUGCCGAAAAGGAGCGUCGUCUCGACCUCGCUCGUCGUUUGGCCGACCAGUACCGGCUGCAAGAAGGUUAGUCACACGCUCCGAGCAGCUUCGCGUACUUGUAUAGUUUGCUUUGCUGACCAGUUUAGGAUUCACGCAGACUUGGAGGAGGAGGUGGCGAGCCUCCAACAAGAGAAGGAGCAGCUCAGCCAGCAGCUCGCCGGUGCGCUGGAGUCCGGGCGGCGAGCAGGAGAGGAGUUGGGUCGAAAAGACCGGGAGCUAUCUGGUAAUGGUUGCCGCCUUGUUGGUUACUGCCUGCCCCUUUUUUGUGCCGAAAAUAACGCUUCGUUUCGUUUGCAGUGCUCAAGGUGAACGCCAAAAAGCACCUGGACGAUCUGACCAAGGACCGGGACUCCUGGAAGGUCAACUGUUGCAGGAUCUGGAAAGGAGUGUCCCCGGUCCUAGACCUGAUCAGUCCCGAGCUCCCGGAGAGCCAGCCCCGCGCGCCGCAGUUGACCCCGGUCGAGAAGGCGCAACGGGCGUGGGACUGGCUCCAGCAGUUUGUGAAGGACGCCGGGGAGUUUGCCGGUGCGCACGUCCUCAGCAUGGUGCGCGCCCACUACCCUCUGGUCGACUUGAGCAGGCUGGAGAAGGGGUACCCGAAGGAAGUCGGCCCGCAGGACGCGGACGAGCUUCGGAGUAGUCUGCUGGACUUGUCGUCGACAGUGAUCGGCGACAUCAAUCUGUGCGGAACGGCCACUCCUCCAGACCAGCCGAGCUCAGAUAGGUCGGCCAGGGAGUUGUCGGGCGCGUCCGUUGCUGGAGAUGGGCGGUCGACGCCUGCGGUCUCGACCAGCCAGGCGCCGAUGGCCCCGACCCCUUCGUCCGGGCAGCAGGGCCAGGCGGGUGAUCAGCCCGAGCAGCUAGGCCAAUAAAGUAGUCUGUAGGAAUAGACUAGUGUCUGCCCGUCAGGGUAUUUAUUGUAAACUUUGUAUGUAAAGUUUGUAAUAAAGUUUACUUUUUGUCAUGACUGUUGUUUUGAGCGCUGUAAAAAUAUCUGAGUGACGUGUCACCGUAUUUGUCUUGGUUGUCGCUAAGAGCAUCCAUUGCAGGAGUUUUGCCGAGUGCUGUGUGUGACAAGGUAUAGGCAAAAAGUAGAGAAUUUCAUUAUCAAAAAUUAUAAGAUACUUACAAAAGAAAGUCAUUAAAACUUUAUGGAUAGAAACGUCGCAGUUUGUCGAUGUGCCAAGAGUUAGGCACUCGUGUUCCGUCUGGGUAUGCCAAUCUGUAGGACGUAGGUCGUGUGACCUCGGUCACCACGAAGGGUCCUUCCCAGGGAGUGGAUAGCUUGUGCAUUCCCUCCUGGCUUGUUUUCCAUCGAAGUACCAGAUCGCCGACCACGAAGGAACGGUCCUUGACGUUCCUGUUGUAGUAUCGCCUGACUGCCGCGAGAUAUUUUGCUGUUCGGAGACAUGAAACUAAACGCUUUUCCUCCAUGCAAUUGAUUUCGAGUUCUCUGGCGUUGUCGGCGGUCGCCUGGUCGAAGUGCUCGAUUCUAGGGGAUCCGAAGUGUAUGUCAGACGGCAGGACCGCCUCUGCACCGUAUACCAUGAAGUAGGGAGACACCCCUGUGUUUCGACUGGUCUGGGUUCGGAGGCCCCAGACCACUGCCGGCAAUUCUUUCAUCCAUCGACCGGGUGCUCUGUCGUUUUCGGUGUACAGCCUUUUCUUUAGGGCGUCAACGAUCAUUCCGUUAGCACGUUCGACUUGACCGUUGGCACGUGGAUGUGCCACUGACACAUAUUUUAUGACUAUGCCUCUGUCAUCGCAGAAAUCCCAAAAAGUGGUGCCAGUAAACUAGGUGCCCAGGUCGGUGAUUAUGCUGUUCGGGAUGCCGAAUCUGUGUAUGAUUUGAUUGAGAAACUCCACAGCAUUCUCGGAGGUUGCCUUGACCAGGGGCAUGUAUUCAAUCCACUUGGAGAACUUGUCGAUUAACACGAAGACAAACUUGAAAUUGCCCGGGGCUGGUUUAAAUGGUCCGAUCAUGUCAAGCCCCCAGCAAGCAAAGGGCCAAGACGACGGGAUGGUUUGAAUUUCAUGGGCAGGUACGUGGGUCCUCUUAGCGAAAAACUGACAUCCUUCGCAAUGCCGAACCAGUUUUUCUGCGUCGCCGACCGCGGUUGGCCAAUAAAAACCUGCUCGGAAAGCCUUUCCGACCAGCGUUCUAGAUGCGGCGUGAUUGCCGCAGGAUCCAGCGUGUAUGUCUUCCAAGAGCUUGAUACCAUCAUCUUGGGGUAUGCACUUGAGCAGUACUUCGGAGCUUGCGUUUCCGCAUGAGUUUUCCGUCGACCAGGAUGUAGUUCUUUGAUCGUCGGAUGAGGCGCUCGUUCUCUGUUUUGUCCUGAAAGCCUGUCCCGUCUGAUAUGUAUUUGAUGAACGGGGUACGCCAGUCACGCCCGCCGGUUGUCGGAGUGGCGUCAUCUAUGAGCAUUGCCUCGGUGGGUUGCUUGUCGAACAGGGGGGAGCUUACGCUCGGCUCAUGGAUGUCCUGGACGAAAUACCCCGCGGGAUUUGGGCCCGAGAUGAGCCUAACUUUGACAACGCAUCUGCUGCUUGCUUCUUAUCCCGGACCACGUGGAUGUACUCUAUGCCAUAGAAGUUAGUUUCCCAUUUGCGAAUUUCUUUGCAGUAGAGAUCCAUCUUCUCGUGGGUUGUGUCCCACUCCUUGUUGAGCUGGUUGAUGACCAAAGCGGAGUCGCCAUAGACGUAGAGGCGCUUGACCCCCAGUUCAACGGCUAGUCGUAUGCCAUGCAAGCAUGCUUCGUAUUCGGCGACGUUGUUUGACGCCGGAAAAAGGAUCCGAAGGACGUAACGGAGUUUGUCCUUGUUGGGUGAUACGAACAAUAUCCCAGCGCCUGCACCGUUGAUGUUCAAGGACCCGCCAAAGAACAUUGACCAGUGGUCUGAGACAUCGGGAACGGAAGGCUCGUUGAGAUCCGUCCAUUCGGCAAUGAAAUCGACCAGGGCUUGAGACUUGACAGUGGUGCGACUCUGGAACUCCAGGGAAAAUGGACAUAAUUCCAUUGCCCAUUUCACGAUUCUGCCAUUGGCGUCUUUAUUGCGCAGGAUGUCCCCGAGAGGGAAACUGGUUGUCACCAGGACUCGAUGGCCGUCGAAGUAGUGCUUCAGCUUUCUUGACGUUAUCAGGAUGGCGUAUAUAAGCUUCUGUAUUUGUGGGUACCUGGCCUUGGACUCGUUUAAGACUUCGCUUAUGAAGUAAACGGGUCUCUGGACCUUGAAAACGUGACCUCGUUCAUCUCGCUCGACCACUAUUGCCGUGGAAACAACCCUGUCGGUUGCAGCAAUGUAAAGGAGUAGGUCUUCAUUGGGCUGAGGCGCUGUGAGGACAGGUGGUGAAGUGAGGAAGGUCUUAAGCUGAGUGAACGCAGCGUCGGCUUCCUCUGUCCAAGAAAAUUUUUCUGACGCUUUCAAUAGUUUGAAGAAAGGGAGGCCUUUUUCUCCCAGCCUUGAGAUGAAACGACUGAGGGCGGCCAUGCAUCCGGUUAGCUUCUGAAUAUCCUUGACGUUCUUCGGUGGUCGCAUGUCGAGUACGGCUUUGACUUUUGAAGGGUUUGGUCGUAUGCCGUCGCGACUGACGACGUUGCCGAGCAGUAGACCGGAAGGAACGCCGAAAAUGCAUUUGUUGGGGUUGAGCUUCCACUUGUACCUAUUGAGUGCCUUGAAGGUUCGGUCUAAGUUGUCGAUUCGGGUGCUCGCGUCCCUUGUUUUUACGACCACGUCGUCCAUAUAGGCCUCGACGAGGUCAUCGCGAAUCUCGUCGUGGAGGCAUUGCUGGAUGGCCCUUUGAUAAGUGGCCCCGGCGUUUUUAAGUCCGAAAGACAUGGUAGUGUAGCAGUAUGCGCCGAAGGGUGUGAUGAAGGAUGUUUUGAUCUGAUCUUCUUCCUUUAGCGAGAUCUGGUGAUAACCAGAGUAGCAAUCUAGAAAGGAGAGUAGUUCGCAUCCGGCCGUUGAGUCGACCACCUCGUCGAUGCGAGGAAGACCAAAAGGAUCUUUAGGACAGUGUUUGUUGAGAUCGGUGUAAUCAACGCACAUUCUCCAUUCAUUAUUCUUUUUGCGUACAAGAACCGGAUUGGCGAGCCAAUCGGGGUGAUACACUUCUUUUAUGAAUCCGGCUGCUAGAAGCCGUGUUAUUUCUGUCCUAAUAGCCUCCUUUUUGUCACGAGCGAACCGUCGCAGUUUUUGCUUGAUUGGUCUUGCGGUCUUCGAGACAUUUAAGGAGUGCUCGAUCAGGUUUCGUGGGACACCGGGCAUGUCUGCGGGUUUCCAUGCGAAAACGCUCACGUUGUCCCUUAGAAACCUGACGAGCGCGUCUUCCUAUUUUGGAUCCAGGUUAGCCCCGAUGAGGGCUGUCUUCUCGGGGUUGCCUUCGACCAGCUGCACUUCUUUGUAUUCCUUGGAUUUUGAGUUCUUUCUGGCUGUCUCCUGCGCAGGUAAUCGGAGCUGAUCGGGAGGCAGCUGUGCGGCUUGGUUUGCUGUUUCCGCCAUGCGGAUUGAGAGGUCGAUUGCCUCGGUGAUCUUGAAGCUUUCUUCUUCGCAGGUGUACGCGGUGUAGACGUUGCCUCUGAUGGUUAGGACACCCUUCUCCGUGGGCAUCUUAAGGACUAGGUAUGAGUAGUGCGGGACUGCCAUGAACUUUGUCAGCGAUGGGCGGCCCAGUAUGGCGUGAUAGGUCCCGUCGAAAUCCGCGACUACGAAGUUGAUGAACUCCGUCCGGAAAUGAUCGGGUGUGCCGAAUUGGACAGGCAAUGUUAUCUGUCCGAGGGGCACCGAACUUUGACCUGGCAAAACCCCCCAGAAUUGGGCGUCGUAAGGUUUUAGUUGUGCCGGUGAUAUCUUGAGGGCGGGCAGGCUGUUGCGGAAGAGGAUGUCGAUGGAGCUUCCCCCGUCCACGAGCACGCGCUCGAAUCUGAUGCUAUUGAUGCAGGGAUCAAGAAUCAGUGGGAAACGACCCGGCUCUGGGAUAGCGGCCCACUGGUCCUUCCUGCUGAACGAGAUCUCCCUGUGGGACCACGCGGGAAAUUUCGGAUCUGCGAUCAGCCCGUCCGUGCUGUCUAUGUUGAGGCAGGCUCUCUUUAACAACUUUCUUUCUCGCUUGGACUCAGUGGAGACCUUGCCCCCGAAAAUGGAGUGGACCACGUCGGUGGGGCUGACGUAUUGGUGUCGGGGGUCCCUGUCUUGGUCCUCAUCCUCAUCUUCGUGGUCGUGCCCGUCGCGCUUGUUAUUUUUCUUGGCGGAGUCCUCUUGGGCGGCCCGCCGUGUAUAGAUACUUUUGAGGACGCGGCACUCUUCCAUGGUAUGGUUAGACUUUGGGUGUACCUGGCACGGUCCCUUCAACGUUUUGUUGUAGUCGUCUUGGUAGUCCCGUCGUCCAUUGGGACGUUUGACCGUAUUUACUUCGUGGUCGUAUUCGCGAGGGCGCUUUCCUCUGAAGUCGUCGCGGCUGUCGCGCCGCCGAUCCCAACCCUCUCGGUGAUCGCGGUUGUCAGAGCGGCGGUGAUUUCUGUUGUCGUAGCGACCACGACCGUCAUCUCGCCGGGAAGGCUGGUCGGGGCCUCUCGCAUCGUCUCGGAUUAGUUUUUCUGCGUCAUCAGCAUCGGCGUAAUUUUUAGCCGUGGCGAGGAGCUCUGCUACCGUUGAUGGGCGCUUACGCAACAGCUUGUUCCUCAGCGCUUCAUGAAAACGCAAGCCCUUGAUAAAGGCUGAUAUGGCCUCGUCAUGAGAAAUCUUCGGGAUUUUGAGGCGCAUAUCCGAGAAUCGUCGGAUGUAAUCGCGCAGAGGUUCAUUCUUCCUGUCUCUUAUCCUUUCAAGGUCAUACUUGUUUCCGGGCUGCUCGCAUGUGGCGAUGAAGUUGUCGAUGAAAGCCUGGCGUAGCUCUUCCCAAGAGUCGAAGGAGUCCUCGGGCAAGCCGAGAAGCCACUGAUGACCGGCCUGGUCGAGGACUACGGGGAAGUAGUUAGCCAUGACGUGCUCAUCUCCUGCCGCUGAUCGGACGGCGAUUUCAUAGAGAGUGAUCCAGUUCUCUGGAUUUUCCUUGCCGUCGUAUUUUUUAAGUUUUUCGAGCUUGAAAUUGCGGGGCCACACGACCUGGCGGAGGUGUGAGGAGAACUGUCUUAGGCCUGGAGGACCGUGGGUCGCAUCGUACUCGAUGCGGCGCAGGUUUUCGUGGACUGCUCUCUCUGCGGCGCGCCUGUUGAUGCGGUCCCGGGCAUCUUUGGGAGGGAUGUUGUGGCGGAGAUCCCUGUGUUGAUCUUCUUCUUGGCCGCGUAUGCCAUGAAUUUGCUUGCGGCGGCCAUCGGCGUCCCGACCACCAUCGUCGCGCCGCGAGUCCCCGCGACGGUUGUCGGGGGAGCGGCUGCGGUGAUGCCUGCUGGGUGAGACCUGGCUACGAUUAGUCUGGUCGGAGGCGGCUUCUGUAUAAGAGACGUCCUGGACUCUCUUGAGUAGAGUGGCUGUCUGUCCCAUUGCGGCGAUCAGGUGUGCUCGGAUGCUGGUCCGGACUCCCUGGCAUUCGAGUGUGUCAGGAAGCCGAUCCAGGUUGGCCAUGGCGACAGCCACGUUGGCGCUUGGCGUUUUGUAGACUGGCUGGUCCCCGACCAUGUCAAAGGCAUCGUUGAGGUUACUUGGUGGCAUCUGUUGUUGCUCGUCCGCACGCCGUCGGGCACGAUCGGCGUUACGCUGUUCGCGGAGUUGCCUCUGGUCAUCUGUUUCUCCGUCAACAGCCGGUUCGUCGGCGCUGACAUUGAACACAAUAUCCCCUCGCCGGGGGGGAAUAUCGGGAAUCGGUCGAAACCCGGAGGGUGUGAAGGAAAAUCCAGGUCGUAGCCCUCGUCUUCGGUGUUUAUGACCUCGGUGGGGACGGAGCCGGUACUUGAGUUGGUGCUGGAAACCUGGCCGUCCCGUAGCUCUCGGAUUGUCACCAUGUUGACAUGGUGACGAUUGUUCCUUGUCGGCGACCAACCCGCCUUGCUGAAAACGGAUUGGACAUGCUGUGAGUAAACAGAGGCCGAGUUGUUCAGGCCGCGAGGAUAGUCUUCCUUUUUGAGCUCGACGGAUCGUCCUGAGGGGAUUGAGGUUGUCGUCAGGGACGUUCCCAGCCGUUCGUGUGUGGCGACACGAGUUGGCCGGCGGGAUUUCGAAAAAUCCGCUCGAGCAGCUUGGUCGGGCCGUCGCAGAACUCCAUCUAUUAGUUGGGAGACUUCGAGUAGCUUGGAGUCAGUGCGAUCGAGCGCUUGGAGGAGGUCCGAGCAGUCGAUCUCCUUUCCCUUGUAGAGUGGGAACGGUGGUCGGGCGCUUGGUGCCGUCAUGCGUGUGGUCGGAGACGGCGUGAUCUCAGAUUGGAUCUGGAUCUCCUUCGGAACCGUGGUCGCGAAGCCGCCGCUGCACGUCGUCCACGUGAUCUGGCCGACGGUGAACGUGAGGCCUUCGGGCACGGUCGCGGAAGCUGGGAUCGUAACCAUCUUGUUCGCCGGAAAAGUUGCACGCACACCCCCUACCUGGCGCGCCACUGUCGACGAAAGCUAGUCGGCAGUCUACCUUGGGGUAUACCCACGGUAGUAGUUUAUCGGUAGACGGUGCGCAAACUACGAACUCGAUAGUGACGCAAGACACGGACAAGCUUUUUAUCCAGGUUCGGCCGCCGAGUUGGCGUAAUACCUACGUCCUGCGUCUGGUUGUAUUGAUUUGUGUUGAGAGAAUAUGAUAUGAUCUAGGGGGGUCCCUUGCCCCUCCUUAUAUAGUCUGGAGGGCAGGGUUACAGAUCUGGAAACUAAUCCUAGUCGGUUACAAUUGCCAUGGAUAAUUCGAUACCAAUUCCUAUUCUAACCGACUAGAAUCCUGCUUGAUCUCCCCAUCUUGUUUCCUUGCGCGAAACUCCAGGUUGUCGGAUCAAGCCUUGAACUCGUCUCGUAAUGGGCCAAGCUUCCUGGCCGAAGUCUAACCGUAAGGGUAUAGGGGUUUAUACCCCCACAGGUGCAGGGGUGGGGGCGGAGGCACGAAGCAAGAAGGUGAAGGACGUAGGAGGUUUGAGUUCCAAUCGAUCUACUUGAGCUGGAAGUGUGGACAAAGGUUUAUUAGAGCAACUUCAACAGCCUUGCCAUCCCCUCCCGCAAAGUUCGUUUAGCGAUUUGAUUUGAUUUGAGGCUACAAAGCAGUCAGGUCUAACAAACUCUCUUUGUUGUUUUUCAUUUUUCUCACUUGCACACUCCAACGAUGACGACAAGUUGGGCCGAUAUUCACUGUGCACUCCAACGACAACCACAUGGAAUGCAUCAAACUCACACUCGCCUGGGGAACGAUGGGUGUCCACGAUAAACUUGACACUACAUCAGCAUCGACAAUCAUGAGGAUGCACUAGAGAACUCCAUCAAGGGCAGUGUGGAGAUCACACAUCAGACAUUCUGUCGAGCAUUGAGGAAUAGCAACAUUCAUCAUCUUCCUCGUGCCCCGAUCUCUCUUCUUCUUAGUGUUAGUGCACUCAUUGAAUUCUUCUGCGAUCUUUCUCUCUCAUAUCGUCAUACGUCGAUGUGACAAACGCCGGUUGCCACCACCUAAUAUGUAGAGUCCAUUUUAAGUCACGAAUCAUCUACUCUUUCCAAAUCCAAAUUAUAAGAGACUUUUUAAUAUUUCUAGAUUUAUAGGUUUUUCUUUGUAUAUCUAUUGUAUAUGUCUAGAUGCAUAAUUUUUUGAACUAUAAUUUUGAAAACGGGGGAGUACUAAAUGAACAGCUAACAUUGUCAUUUGUGAAGCAUAAGUUGGUUUCGAGUAUAGAACAUCAGGUUUUGUGUUUCGAAGAAUCACCUGUAGUCGAGGGAGGUCAUAUAUGGUACUUUUCCUUGUACACACAUCGUUGUUGGUGCGCGCCGGCCUGGAGGUCAGCAACGUUUUGCUGGGUUGAUUGGUGCGGCUCCUGGAGCAGUUGGACCCUGGGCCUACAAUAACGACUUCAUGGGCUUAUAUACCGCCACUAACGCCAGCCCAACAGGGGAGUCCUCGCAAACGGGCCCGGCGAUGGGCCCGAUCACAUCGGCCAGCGCAGUUCACUUUUUUCCUUUUUUUUUUGUUCAUCUACGAUCAUGUCACUCAGUUUGCAAAAUUUUUUCAAGAUUCUCUGUCACAUCGAAUUUUUAUUUGUAUGCAUAUAACAUUAAAUAUAUACGAAAAUAAAAACUAAUUGCACAAUUUACCUGUAAUUUAUGAGAUAAAUCUUUUGAGCCUAGUUACUCCAUGAUUGGACAAUGUUUGUCAAAUAAAAACGAAAAUACUACAGUAGCCACUGUAAUUUGUGAGAUGAAUCUUUUGAGCCUAGUUACUCCAUGAUUGGACAAUGUUUGUCAAAUAAAAACGAAAAUACUACAGUAGCCAAAAACCAAAAUUUUUGCCAACUAAACAAGGCCUCAGGGAAAAAAGGAUUACGGCAAGAAAACGCGUUCAUCCAAUCCAAUCUACUUAAUCCAUCCCAAAUUGUAAGUCGUUUGAUUUUUUUAAUAACAAGUUUGAUCACUCAUCUUAUUUAAAGUUUUAUAUAAAAUAUCAUUUUUUUUGUUGUGUAUUAGUUUAUUAAUAAAAGUUCUUCAAGAAUAACUUAAAUUUGACUAUAUUUGUACAGAUUUUUUGAAUAAGACGAGUGGUCAAACUUGAGAUAAAAAAGUCAAACGACCUACAAUUUGGGAUGGAGGGAGUAAGCUUCAUCAAAUAAAAAAAAGAUCGAAUCUUUUAAGAGACGAAUCUUGUACCAUAUACUCUCCCCUCUCGUUUGGCCACAUCACUCUGUAUAGCUCGCGAAGCUUCUUAGGUCGACGAGUUCGGUGUUCGCUCUAGCGUGGAAGACUUCUGAAGAUAGUAGGCACUAGUACUGCGCACGGCGUCAUGAAUUGGCGACUCGAGCGCGGAAACUGCGGUUCACCUGCAGCAGCCCGGAGCGGAUUGUUGCAAGUGUAGAUAGGAUAAGCUAGCUAGCUGUUAUGUUUGAACUUUGAACGAAAUUAUAUCUUUAGUUUCCUCGUCUGUUUCCUCAAUUAUUUUUCUAGAUAUCUAAAUCCCAUGUAAUUUAUAGAAGAAUAGUAGACACUGUCUGGACAUAUGAUCCCCUUUUGAUGUCUUAGCCGGCCUCUACUAUAUGUGAUAUCAGAAUUCAGAUCUCUAGUAUCAAUUUUUAUUUUAAUUUUGAAAAACGUGCCGAUGCACGUGUGGCACUAAGAGGAAAAAAAGAUGAUUUACACACUCCAUAGGUGGCGACAGCAAGGCUUCGAGCCAUAAAACAGAGAGGCACACAAAACACAAAUCACCCUACGGUGGGUAGAAAACAUUGUACGAAGUAAGAACGAGGUGUGUGAUAAAAAAGGCGUUAGCGAGCUAGACUACACAGGCUAUGGACAGCCUGCAGCAUUUCAGUUUGCAAGGGUAGCCAUUGAGGUUUUAUACUUGCUAUUUAAUUCUACAGAAAUGAGUUUUCUUUUUGCGAGACGCCUCUUGACGAACAUGUCGCCUACCAGUCUAUCACUGAAUGAGUGCAUAGGAUCCUACCUAAGACCUAACUUUAUACAAUAAGUAUCUGCCCAUAAUUUUGUGAGUUUACCUAAAGCCACCCGCGUUCUUGUUCAAUAUAUAUUAAGGUAUAACAAGGCAUUGUUCAAUAUAUUAAAUAUAAGAAAUUUCAUUAGAUUUUAGCAACUUUAAUUUACAGUUUUCAAUCAACCGCAAAUAAACAUCGGCAGCACCACAAAUGCCACAAAUAUCCGUUGGCCAAAGAACCAUCCAUUAUUCAUUGCGUGGUGUAUCCAACAAAGGCGCGGAGCAAGAAGGCUGAAGACCGGCCGGUCAUCGAUUACCGUCGCCGGAGUUGGCUGGCAAGACUCAAGAGCUAGCGUUUAACCGGCCGAUCAAUCUUUAUUCGUUUGCCUAAUAAGUCAUAGUAGAUUUAUUGAUAGAAAAAAACACUAAAUUCGGAUGAUAAUAUUAAGCAACUGGCUAAUAGAAACAUCCAAGGAUAAAAAAAAAAAAAGGUUCUACACAUCGUGUCCACACCCCCACCGUGCUCUUUACACAACCAAGCCGAGACAGCAGUGAGAUGAACACACAUGGAAACAACUACAAUAUUAUUUGGAUUUGAUUCACACAACGGCGCAGCAACAAGCAAGGAGGCCGUUUUUAUUCAACUCGGACGCGUCCGUGACCGGCGACGACCCAGCGAAAGGUCAACUCAAGCGGAGGAGGGCGGCGGUGGGAAUGGGAUGGCGGCGACGGUCUUCUGGAACGCGGGGCGCUUGGCGAUCUCCUCCCACCACGCCUUAACAUGGGGGCGGUCGUUGACGAGCCCAGCCUUGGGGGUCUUGGUGAGGUAGAGCAGGUAGGACGCGUGGUUGGCGUCGGCGAGCGUGAACUCGUCGCCGGCGAGGUACUUGUUGCUGGCGAGGUGCGCCUCGUAGACGUCGAGCACCUUGGCGAGCUCGUGCGCGUGCUUGUCCACCACCAAUGGGUCCGGGGCGCCGCCGAAGAGCGGCCUGAAGAGGAGCUGGAACACCAGCGGCGACGCGUUCGGGUAGAAGUGGUGCGACUCCACCUCCAGCCACACCUCGAGCUUCGCCGACGCCGUCGCCGGGAGCAGCGCCGCGCCCGACGACGCGUACUUGGUCGCGAUGUACCGGUUGAUGGCACGGGACUCUGCGGUGAAAUGUGCGCGCGGUCAGGUGAGGUGAAUAGAUCAGCUAGUUCAGCAGCAGGAUUUAGUGACUAGAUUUGACAUGGGCAUCCAUCCAUCAAGUUCAAGGUAAAAUAAGCCAGGUUCUCCAGACGAAAUCCAAGUGGUCAACACUCAACAGGGAUAAUGUUCAAUAUUUAAAAAUGGGGAGGAAAAACAAAAAGAUACUGUUCCUAGAUCUGGAUCUCGUUAUUCGAUUCAUAAUCAUAAUUAACCGGUACCAGGAAUUAUUAUGUCAGUAAAAAACAGAGUGGGUGAAUGGGGAGUUUACCGUAGAGGACUUCGUCUCCGUCGACGAGAGCCGGGAUCUGGCCGAAGGGCUGUUUGGAACAAGAACAAGAAGAAGAAGAAGCAAGAUGAUGAGGCACGCACAUAAAGCAAAACUAGUAGCGGAACGGAAGCAGGAAGGGGGAGGAGAGACGGACGUUGAGGGCGAGGAAGUCGGGCUGCUUGUGGGCGCCGGUGGUGAGGUCGACGGGGAUGAUCUCGAAUUCGAGGCCCUUCUCGUUGAGCACGGUGGCCACGCGCACCACGUUGGGCGACAGCGGCAUCCCGUACAGCUUCAGCGGCGCCAUCCUUUGCUGCUGCUUCCUUCCCCAAGUCGGUCGCCGGUCAGUGAGUCUCUCUCUCUCUCUCUCUCUCACGCGUCCACACUGCGAUUGGAUAGGAGUUGGAGUUGCCUUGCCCGUGCCCUCCCGUUCUUUAUAGCAGUUGAUGAAGAAGAAGACGACGAGUGAGGAGGUGGGCGGGGCCAGCGGCCAGCGAGGCGCGCCAUUCACUCGCCGGGGAAAAUGGAGAUGGGGAUUUUAAUUGCACCACCAUCACCGUAAUAAUAAAAUGGAUGGGGAUUUUUUUUUAACGCGAUGAACGAUUAUGACAUGUACAAGGCGUUACGGGCACUAUGACGGUGUCCAGAGAGAAAAAAAAAAUGGCGGACGUGUGGAGAAGCGACGAGCCGCGUGUGCCCGAGGAAGGAACUGGAUUGCAUCGGGGUCGUUGGGAAGGCGGCUGCGGAUGCCGCGGAUGCUUUCGCACAUGGAAACGGCAGGAUCCCUGCAGGCUGGCCUGAUUCAUCGUUUCUGGUCGUUGAAACGUCUCUUGUCGGUGCAAAUGGAUCAGGUAUCCUUUUGUUUUGCUUGGCCCCAGCCAUAUAUAACACGUGUUCCUUCCUUGAUUUUUUAGCCAUAUGUAUACAAUAUACGCGCAGGUUCAUCUUUCAUAGGCCGAUUACUUGUUGCGCUAAUUUCAUAUAUUCACCAGCUGUCCAGCUGAACAGCGGAGACAAGCAACUGGGCAACAACGUAGUCACCAUUACUCUAACUAAUCAUCAAAUGAGAUUAAACAUUAUUUAUCCUAAAAGAUCAUACAGCAAACAUCGCAAUCAAUCAACAACACAGAUAGUUAUCGUAUGAGCAGAAUAAUAAUUAAAGAAAAAAACAGGCAGAACGUGCAACGCUAUUCAUCAAAUGAGUAAAACAUUGCUAGGCUAUUUUAUUUAUUCAUAAAUAAAUAACGAUGCAUUCUAUUACGUUCGUCUGCAAAUGGGUGUUUUAGCCCUUCCGCAGAACAUAGUACAUCAGAGAUAUAUUUACAAAUAAAAAUAUUAUUAUCUCUUGCUUUGCCCUCGGGUCACCGAGGGCCCACAAAGAUACUGUACAAUCCUUGGUACAGGGGGAGCAGUCAUGAUGAUGAUUACAGUAUGUUGCUACGGUUGAUCCGAUGGUUUUAGGAAAUUGUAGCACUCCAGCUGCAGCAUUUCUCCUCCGUUAACUGGGUCAAAUUGGCAUCUGUAGAAGCUGCAAAGCCAUGCACAAAAAAGAACAAAUAUUUAGAUUCAAAUAUAUAGAUAGAUUCAUCUACCGCACUUAUAGUUGUACAGAGUGAAUGUUCUAUUUCAUGUUCUCACCUUCCAUCCAUACCAACAACUGCCACAGUAUUCUUCUCAUGUCCAAAUGCAACAAUAUACUGCUCACCCUCAUGUAGCCUGAAUUGAGCUACUGACCACUCAGAAUGGAAAUAUUUCGGCAACACACCUGCCAUUGAUGAAAGUAAACAUGUCAAUACAAGCCUGAUUAAAAAAGGCAACCAAAAACAGCAGCGAGCUGCUUUCAUUGGCAGAUGGUCUCAUCCUGUGUAACUAGCAUAAAUUACUAGAGUAUAAACCAAAGACUGAAUUUCCACUACUCAGGGCACGUCCAGGUACCAUGUAAAAAACACCAAAACAGAAACCACUUGAAGCAUACGGCUUUUUUCAAAAAAGAAAAAGAAAAAAAAGAGGGAUAAAAACAAGGAAAUCAGCAAGAUCAGACCAGAUGCAGAGUGUUCGCUUCUAUGCCUCCAGCAAGACAAUACUCCCUCUAGGUUUUUUACAUGUCGUAUUAGCUUCAUCCUAAGUCGAACAUUUCUAACUUUGACAAUCAAUUCUUUUUUUAAAAAAAAAUGUGUAUAGGUUAACAACAUAAGAUUAUGUUUUACAAUUCACUAUGAUAUACUUGCAUAAUAUAUAAUUUUCAUGUGAAACUACCUGAUUUUUUUUAAAAAAAUGACGGUAAUAGAAGUUAGACAUGUUUGACUUAGGACAAACCUAAUGCACCAUGUAAAAAAUCAGAGGGAGUAUAUCAAUGAUACUCAAAUAUAAAAGGACACGAUCAAAUCAAAAUAAGAGAUCAAGGAAAAUGCUCUAUGUCUUGUAACGAUUUAGAAAUAUUAGAAUGGAAAAUGUAACAUAUACUAAGCCUUUUAAUGUUUAUUGUCCAACAAAUAACUCCCGAAGUACAAUGUGCACAUUUAGGAAAACUAACUCCCAAAGACAAAUCACAACUAAUAAUAAGCUAGUAUAUUUUGAAACAAAACUUUUCAAGCCUAUAAAUGUCAACCAGAAAAGGGAACUUCCCCCAAACAUCAGGUAUCCCG